GAGAGAGAGAGAGAGAAAUUAAAAAGCAAGAGGAGAACUGGAGCUGCCUGAGUAGGUCUGAUAGGCUCCCCAGCUGAGAGUAAGUGGGUUACGUAGGCAAUAAGCUCUGUUCAACUUCAGCACCUACAGAAAGAUCUGUUCUGGAGGCAGCAGGGAAAAAGCAAGUUCUCGUAAGUGGAGAAGGAAACAGAUCUCUGCCUUCCCAGGGUGUAUCUAGCUCCUGUUGGCUGGGGAACUCUUAAUCAGAUUGGCACCCACGAUGGACUGCUGUAAUGUACGUACACAUCUGUAGAUUAUUAUUAUUAUUAUUUUAUUUUGGAAUGCGCAAAGAAAAAAUCAUGCUAGAAUGUAAUAAGCUGGUGGGGAAAGACUGAAGUUGAGGUGCAGUGCUCAGGUUGUUUUGUUCGUUUUUAUUUCUGAACUAUUAUGAAUGGCAGUCUGUGAUCAAGUGCUGAGAUGUCUCUGAAUCUACUCUCAUAUUGAUAUGGCGCAGGGGGAGGGGGAACACGCCCACCUUUUCUUUAGGGUCUUUUCUUUAGGGUCUGAAAGAUCCCCUCUCUGAGAUGGUUGUGGACGAGGCAACCAGGCAUGGCACACCAUGUACCUGAACCCUGUGACAUUUUGGAAUUUCCCCUCCCUGUCUGAUGGAUAGGAAAUUCUACCAGCUGCCCUGAGCCUAUUUAAUAACUUUAAAUUAGAUGUGGUGCAUUGACUUUUUUAUUGCAAUCUUUUAAAUAAAAGGAGUCUGUCUUUUGGAUCUUUUAAGUUGGCUGCUCUGUGUGGCACAGCGAUUUCUAGUUGCCAGAAAGCUAAGCGUGGAAAUAGCAAUAACAGGACCAGCAGAACUGUUAGUUUCUGUGUGGGAGUUUGCUGCUUAUUUCUGCUCCUGUACUGGGGAGAAAAAGAGAUGAGGGGAAAUAAUGGCUCUUUUAUAUAUAUAUAAAGGGGCUGAGAAAGAAGAACAAGCAGCAACCGCUGACUAAAUUCACGGAUCAGGGUUUUUCUUUUUUUCCACCCCUUUGAAAGAAACACACUAAAACAAUGAACUUUGGACUGCUGGAAGUCUUAAAUCGGAUUUGCGCUUUUGGGUGGGAAAAGCAUUUGAAGGCUGGCAGCGCUGGGUAGAACAUGCAUAUUUUGCAAGCUUUCCCCCCUGGGUUUCCUUCAUUUUUCCACCUUUGGAGCAAGGGUAGCCAACAUUGUUCCCUUCUAAUGUUGGUUUUCUGGCUCCCAUCAGCUCCAGCCAGCAUGACCAGCGAUGCAAGUUGUGGUGCAACACUCUGUUGGCUACCCUUGAUUUCGAGAUUAAUCCACACACAAAAAUAAGUGCUGUUGGUAUGUUCACACGUUCUGUUGGCAAAGGGGCUAAGGUGGCGAUGGGGAACAUGUGGCCAAUCAUUGACCGUGUUGGCUGCGGGGGCCACAGAUUCCCUCAUCCCUAGUUUAGGGAACUGCAAACAAUACUGGAAAUAUGCCUACAAUCAUUUCCUGCUUAUUAGGACUCCUUUGAGGAGUGCUGUGUUCAAAUAUUCUGAGUGUGAGUUGGUAGUUGUGCCCCCUUUUCAGGAUUCAGGUCCAUUCCCAGGGGUUGGAGAAGUCUAAGAUAACCGAGUGGUUGGGUGAAUGCAUCUUGAGGCCCCUAGUUACAUCCAGAUAAAUGCCUGUUCACUGGAACUGUGAAGAAGGUACAUCUGGCCACUUCACCAAGUGUUGAUAACAUAUUCCAGGGCUAUCUUGUGUGAGCAAAUAUGUUUCUCUGUUAUAUCUUGAACUGGAAAUGACAAACAUGCUCUUGGCUUUUAAUUCACUGCAUAAUCAAUGGAUAUAGCAUUUGGAGAAGGGCUUUCAGCAUUUUUUAACAGUGGAGAAGGUGGGUGAUGCCAGUUUGAAGCUUGGACAAGGUACGUUCCUGUGGGCUUCGUUCCUUCAUAGAAUCAUGGAGCUAAACAGGACCUCAAAGAUCAUCUAGGCCAGGAAAUCUGCUGCUACGGCUUCUCUGAUUGGUGGUAAUCCAUCACCUGCUUUAAAAAGUCCGAAGAAAAGAUUUCUGAUGCAAUCUUAUUUUCUUACGUUUAUAUACUACGUCUUCUUCUCCUUCCAAGAAGCUCAAGGUGGUGUAUAUGGUUCUCCUCCUCCCCAUUUCAUCCUCACAACAAGGCUGUGACUUAGGUUAGGCAAAGACACGGUGACUGGCCCAAGGCUGCCUCGUGGGGAUUCGAACCCUGCUGUCCCAGGUCCUUAGUCCAACACUCUAACCAUUAUGCCACACUGGCUCCCAAGGGUGGGGAGCCACAAGGUUGGUACUCUCUAUCUGGCCUUUGGCAAUUCCCCCAGGCCUACUUCCACCCUUGCUCUCAUACUCCUUUGCCAGCCUUGCUUCACACCUUUUUUCAGGUGUUUUUACCUGACUGGAAUAUGCUUCUGAACUCUGGCAAUGCUUCUUGCUUGCCUGGAUAGAGGAGAGAGGGGUGUGUGUGAAGAAACCAGCCUACUAUGCAAAAAGGUGGUAAAACUCACAUUUGUUGCUCCACCUUCUUUUGCUUCUGGCCCUAGCGCACACUUGUGGCCCCCGGAAACUUGCAAUGAAUGGAAUGUGGCCUUCAGGGUGGAAAAGGUUUUCCACCCCUGUGCUGCAGCUCAUGCUAUGAAAUUCUCCCUGUUGUUUCAUUGAAAUCCCCUUUGUUGUGAAUGGAAUGUGUUGGUUCAAGUCCUGCCUUCUGGAUCAAUGGAAAACCAAUUUGCUCUAUCAUCACGACAGCCCUUCAAGUAUCUGAAGGGGGCCACAACAUCACCCACCUCUUAGCUGUCUCUAAAACACACACUCAUUCCACCGUAAUUCAUCAUACUUGGUCUCUAGGUCCCUUCACCAUCACUGCCACUCUUCUGCUAUGGACACAAUCCAGUCCUUACUACCACCCCCUCCCAGAGAGAGAAAUGACAAAGUAUAUGGCUAUCUACAUUGGCUCCCAGUAUGUUUCCAAGUACAAUUCAAGGUGUUGGUGCUGACCUUUAAAGCCCUAACGGCCUCAGCCCAGUAUACCUGAAGGAGCGUCUCCACUGCCACUGUUUAGCCUGGACACUGAGGUCCAGCUCUGAGGGCCUUCUGGCAGUUCCCUCACUGCAAGAAGCAAGGUUACAGGGAACCAGGCAGAGGGCCUUUUUGGUAGUGGCGCCCGCCCUGUGGAAUGCCCUCCCAUCAGAUGUCAAGGAAAUAAUCAACUACCUGGCUUUUAGAAGGCAUCUGAAGGCAGUCCUGUUUAGGGGAGUUUUUAAUGUUUGAUGUUUUAUUGUGUUUUUAAUAUUCUGUUGAGAGCUGCCCGGAGUGGCUGGGGAAACCUAGCCAGAUGGGUGGGGUAUUAUUAUUAUUAUUUAUUUAUUUAUUUAUAUUAGAUUAGAUCUUCACUUUUUUAUGCUCCUCUUGCUGCUUGCUUGAAGAGGGAUGGUGAGCAAGCAGCAACAGGAGAAGUAGCAGCAGGGGGACGGAUUGGUAGUGGACCCCUAACUGAGGGGGGCAUGGCAGAUGCUCAACCACACUGAUUCCUGAUGCUGGUCCUGGGUGUGUGGCUUAUGGUGAGAACCUUAUUAUUAGAAUGGGAAUGUUGCAAGCAUGUUUCCAUUGUCACCUGUGAGAUGCUAAGGCAGGGAUGGGGGACUUAUGGCUGAGCUCUCAUCAGCCCCAAAGCAGCAUGGCCAGUAGUCAGGAAUGAUGGGAGCUGGAGUCCAACCACAUCUAGAGGAGCACACAUUCUCCCAUCCCUGUGCUGGCAGCAUAUGCGGCUGCACAUCCCACAACACUGGCAAGUAUUUACAUACCCCGCUCUAUGUGGGGCUACCUUUGAAGGUGACCCGGAAACUACAAUUAAUCCAGAAUGCAGCAGCUAGACUGGUGACUGGCGCCAAUACUAUGUACCAGUAACACUGGUUCUGAAAGACCUACUUUGGCUCCCAGUACGUUUCCAAGCACAAUUCAAAAUGCUGGUGCUGACCUUUAAAGCCCUAAACGGCCUCGGCCCUGUAUAUCUGAAGGAGCAUCUCCACCCCCAUUGUUCAGCCCAGACACUGAGGUCCAGCUCCGAGGGCCUUCUGGCAGUUCCCUCACUGCAAAUAGUGAAGUUACAGGGAACCAGGCAGAGGGCCCAGUACACCUGAAAGAGCAUCUCCACCCCCAUCAUUCAGCCCGGACACUGAGAUCCAGCGCUGAGGGCCUUCUGGCGGUUCCCUCACUGCGAGAAGUGAGGUUACAGGGAACCAGGCAGGGGGCCUUCUUGGUAGUGGCAUCUGCCCUGUGGAACGCCCUCCCAUCAGAUGUCAAGGAAAUAAGCAGCUACCUGACUUUUAGAAGACAUCUGAAGGCAGCCCUGUUUAGGGAAGUUUUUAAUGUUUGAUGUUUUAUCGCAUUUAGGGAUGUGAAAAACUAUAGCAGCCUUCCCUCAAGCUGCUGUGGCUUUCAAUUCCUGGUCCCUGGUCCUGUUGGCUGGGUCUGGUGGGAGUUGCCUUCCAACCAUAUCUGGAGGGCAGCAGCUUGGAAAAGGCUUCUCCAAAGGUUAUUGGACUUGCAAGGUAAAAUGAGAGUUGAGUCCCCAUCGACUGAAACCCAUCAGCGUCAAGAAGAAGCCUGGAUUUCUUCUAACAGCCUGACCCAGAAAUUCUCCCACAUCCGCAGAGCUAGAUGGGGAAAGGACGCGAUCUGCUCACUUAGAGCUUUUGUUGGAAUUUUCCCGUGAUCCUAUUUGCCAAGCCAGGGGAUGUCAGUGCCGGCGUGCCGGCAGCUCCUAAGGGACUCGGGUUGGUUUUCAGCAAUUUCAAUUAGGAGAUGGCUGGCAGAGUCGUAUUUCGUUGCAUUAAGUGGGAUGGAAACCAGGCGACUUGUCUACAGAAAGCAGAACUUUGUGCCACCUUCUUUGCUUAUUUAUAUGUUUGUCUGCCUGCAUUCGCUGGCAGGGUGUGUGGGCUGCUGGGGUUCCUGGGCAGGACUGUGUGCCUUAUUUGUGGAGACAGCCUUCCAAUUUGGAGGGAGCGCAGCUACUUUUCUUCAGCACAAAUAUAUUACCAAAAGAAAAGGAGGGGAGGGAUUUUGGGAUAUGAUUUACAACGAACUAAAAAAGAAGUUUAAAUUAACCUUUGCCAAAAAGACCUGAAGCCUUUCUCUGAGGUAUUAUAGGUAUAGAUAUACCAAAAGAUUUGAGGAUGUUAUUUAUGUAUGCAACCACGGCUGCAAGACUGCUAUCAGCCCAGUGCUGGAAAGGAGAUAAUAUACUGACAAAAAUGGAAUGGCAGACAAAAUUAUUUGAAUAUGCCGAGAUGGCAAGACUCAUGGGGAAAGUUAGGAAUCAUGACGACCAAAAAUUUAUCACAAAAUGGGACAAAUACAGAUAAUCCUUAAAAGAUAACUGUGAACAUCUGGAAUCUUUGGCAGGCCUUGAAUGACUCCUGAAAUGUGACAUAACAUAUGGACGUACUGGAUAAAUAUAAACUAGAUGUUAUUCAAUAUGCAGUUAAUAUAGAAUUGUAGAGGACCCACGUUCGGGUGGAGGGAAGUCUUAAUACUUUUAAACAGAAUAUUAUUUCAUUUUCAACGUUUGAGUAUUUUCUUCUUCUUCUGUAUAUCUCUGAUGGAGAAUGAUAAUUGUGAUGUAUACAGUGGUACCUCGGGUUAAGUACUUAAUUUGUUCCGGAGGUCCAUUCUUAACCUGAAACUGUUCUUAACCUGAAGCACCACUUUAGCUAAUGAGGCCUCCAGCUGCUGCUGCUGCACCGCCAGAGUACGAUUUCUGUUCUCAUCCUGAAGCAAAGUUCUUAACCCGAGGUACUAUUUCAGGGUUAGCGGAGUCUGUAACCUGAAGCGUAUGUAACUCGAGGUACCACUGUACUUAAAAAAUCAACAAAUAUUAAAUGCAAAAAAAAGGAGGGGGAGAAAGAUGGAUGGUUAGGGGUUAAGUUCUAACAGAGUCUUUAAGAAGGACCCCAAAAGCAGGGCCAUUUAACUCAUCUGCUCCUCCCUUAAGCACACUGGCACAGAUCCGAAUGAUGCAUUCCACAAUGUGCCACCAGCAGAGAACAGGUGUGAAGGGCUGGGAUUGCUGGGACUCUGACAAGGCCCACAUCUGAGCAAGUGGGGACAUCUGCUCAUCCCCAGCCCUCACCCACAAGCCCUCUGGCCCUGUUACUGCUCUGCCUUGCCUCUGCUGCCUACCAGCCGCCUCCCUUCCCCAAGCAUGGAAGCCAAGAGGGCUAACAUAGGGCUCUUCUGAUAUCUUUGAUAGUGAUGUCCACAUGAUGGGACUUCACUGAAUGCCCACUGUUGGGGGAUGGGCUGCAAGCAGGGGCUGAGGAAGGGGGGUGCGGUAGGUGCGGGCUGCCCCGGGUGUCACCACUGAGGGGGAUGACAAAAUGCCGGGAGGCACUCACUGCGGGGCCUGCAGUGCGCCCGAGCCACACGUCUCUCCUGGGAAAGACGCGGUGGCUUGGGCGCAUGCAGGCACUGCACUGCCCAAACGAUUCACCCGCUGUCUCCCCCCCCAGCUGUAGGGUGGCAAAGUGGGAGGAGGCAGUUAGGCUCUGGAGGCCCUGUGGUGCACCCCACCCCUAUGGGCAACUCGCCCUGCCCCUGGGCACACCGCCCCAGGCACCCAAGUGUCUUCCUCCACCGCUGGCUGCAAGGAGGGCAGCUCAGGACCUUUUUAGAGGCAUCAGCAGAGUUGUGGUGGGCAUGUUAAUGCCCAGCUGUCUGGCCACCUGUCUGUCUCUCUUCUGUAGAGGAUUGUCAACUGCCCAGGAAAAAACUGUUGUGUCCUGCUCCUGUUCCUUCAAGGGAUUUCUCUGCAUAAAUCAGCUGCUAUAUAUCAUCAGCUUAUUUCUGCACCUAGCUCAGUAUUGUUUUUUUCUGACUUAGCAGUGACUCUCUCCAGGGUCUGAGGUGAAGACAAAACCUUUCACACCACCUGCCACUUGAUCCUUUUAAACCGGAGAUGUCAGCAUUCGAAUUGGAGCAUGGCUUUGUCCCUGAGCUGCAGUCCUUUCCCUAUACAGUGGUACCUCAGGUUAAGUGCUUAAUUCGCUCUGGAGGUCCAUUCUUAACCUGAAACUGUUCUUAACCUGAGGUACCACUUUAGCUAAUGGGGCCUCCCGCUGCUGCCGCACGAUUUCUGUUCUCAUCCUGAAGCAAAGUUCUUAACCUGAGGUACUAUUUCUGGGUUAGCGGAGUCUGUAACCUGAAGCGUAUGUAACACGAGGUACCACUGUAGAUGCCACCCAUGCAUUACAGCUCCUUCCUGAUCCUACACAAUGAUGCCAGUUUUCAGAGUAGAUGAUCGCAAACAAACAAAAUGCAUCCAAUUUCAGGCAGAGAUUUGGAGAAAAUGUUCCCAGUGUACCAGUGGAUACAGCUUCAUUAUCUGGAUUUCUUGUUGUCUUGGUUAUUAAAGGUAAGGGAGCCAUUCCAGAAAAAAAGGAAGCAAUUUUUUUAAAAAAAAAUCCCGCACACGCAUCACACAUGUAAAGCACAUUUUCUCCCCUCCUGGGAAUUGUAGUUUGUUAAGGGUGCUGGGAACUGUAGCUCUGUGGGGGGCUAAACUACAGUUCCCAGGAUUCUGUGCUGUUUCUACAGUGGAGUCAAUGCAGUUGAAAGAAGUCAUCAGGUGAGUCUCAACAAAAGGGCACAUCAACGUGGAGCCAUUUAGGGGGAUCAGGUGGGAAGAUGAGUUUUGUCUUUGAGUUCCGAACAGCAAGUGCUUCUGGCGGGUUGACCUUUCUGCACUGAGACGUGCCCCAUGCAAUGUAAUAGCAUUUCUUAGAAAUAUCAUUGCUGGCAUUCUCAUCCCACUCCAUCUGCCCUUAUUUUCCUGUAACUCAUCAUUAGCUGUGACCAGGCACGGAGUCAGCCUCUGGCCUCCUUGGGCAGCUGCUAGGGGUCCCUACUCCCUGGCAUGGUCCACUGUCGCCAACAUCUCUUGCCCAGGUCCUCAAGCCGUAUUUCUAAUUUCCUGGAGUGACCGUGACAUCAUGUCUCUCCAGGGCAUUAGUGUCAUGGAAUUCUACUCAAUAUUGAUCCAGAGUAGAACUCCAGCGUGUAGUUAGCAGAGUAAAAACUUAAACACGUUGCAGAAUUCUCAAAAAAUAGACCAGAGGCAAUUAAUAUUUCAUCCAGCAGAGCUUUACUGCUACUGAAGGCAAAUGAGCAUAAUGGUCACAAAUCCAAUACAUCCAAUACAGUUGCAGCAGACUUAACUUAAACUUACAAUAAGUUUAACCUUAACACUAAGCAUACUAUAUACAGAACACCACACCAGAAGGAUAGAGAGAUAGAAAGAGUGAAACCAGGCUCCUUCUGGCCGUAAUAUUAUAGUCAACAUGACUUGACAGAAGAGAUAACAGAACCAAUUUAAGCCAGCUGUACUCGGCUUCUCUGAAGGAAUAACCCAAACAUCAUGAACCUUCUGCUUGUUUCUUUCACACAGAGAAGCUUCCAGAACCCUCUUGAAUAAAUUAGAAUAGGAAAGAGCUCUACACAUCAGAACAACACUUUCUGCACUAAGAAAUGCAAACUGAUAAUUAGUCCCCAUACACAGGAGGCUGACUUAUAACAAGUCAGACUAUUGGGUACAUCUAGUUCAGUAUUAUCCAGACGGACCGGCAGCAGCUUUCCUGGAUUUCAGACAGGAAGUCUUUCCCAAAUCAACCCAGAGAUGCCAGGAUUAAACCUGUGACCUUCUGCGUGCAAAGCAGAUGCUAUACCACACUGAGCCAUUCCACAAAAUGUGGGGAAUUGUGACUGAGUGUUACAGACCCUCCAAGUGUCCCUAUUUUCCAGGUACAGUCAUGGAUUUCCAGAAGCCAUCCCGGUUUCUGAUUUGAUCCCAGAAUGUCCUGCUUUUCCUUAGGACGUCCCUCUUUUCAUCGGAGAAAUGUUGGAGGGUAUGGAGUCAUGCAACCCCCCGAACCAAGGAGAUAAGUCACUAUACAACCUUUAGAAGACACCUGAAGGCAGCUCUAUAUAGGGAUGUUUUUGUUAAUGUUUAAGGUUUUAUUAUGUUUUUAUAUAUGUUGGAAGCUGCCCAGAGUAGCUGGGGCAAUCCAGUCACAUGGACAGGGUAUAAAUAAUUGUAAUUACAUUAAUGAUAAUAAUUAUAAUUAUUAUGGAAUAGGAUGUCCCUAUUUUCAGCUGAGAAAGGGUAUGGUGUUAUAGCCAGCUUUCCUUACUAAGUAAGACCAUCACAUUUCUGAAACAAGGGCCUUCAGAGAAAUGAAUGUCAGGGGCAAUGAAAUAAUCCAAUCUAGAAAGUUUUUCAUGAAAGUAUGACAGCAGAGGUGUAUGUGAACACAUAGCGUUUAAAACCAUCUUUAAAAAGAAUGCCCACAAACCUUCUGUACGAACAGAGGUCUAAAUGCCAUCUUUCCAUGAAUGAGUCUGGCUAUGGGCAUUCUUAUAAAGAGUUUUGGCAUCCAUGCCACAUGAACUCACCUUGAACUGCCCUGACAGUUUUUGGGUGGGCAAGAAGUGUGAGGAAAAUUGAGUGAGGUGGGUGGUCUCGCCAGGGUGGGGGGGAUACAUCAAUAAAUUAAUUUGAGCUGACUUUAUCUAGGGACAAUUUGAGAGGCCAACAAAUGGGAGCUAUUGAAGAAGAAUAGAAUGGAUGUGGAGAAGGAUCUGUUGGGAAAUUAACCGGGAGUAAAUGAAUUGAAGAGGAACUGAUCUGGGUGGGGUGCAAAUUAAUUGUAGAAUUUAUCUGAAGAUAUGGAUGGGAAAUUAGUUAGUUUGUCUUCUCUCCUGUGACAUUUAAAUUCUAGAUUUGCAUCUGCACAUAUCAAUUAGUCUGUGCAAUGUUAAUGCAAAUGUCUGUCUCUGAGCUUGUGCGUUGAAUCUUUUAAGAACCUAGCAACGCCCCAAUUCUGCUUAUCAGAUUAGUCCAAGAGGGCCCAUUCUGUAUCAGUUAACUAUCAAGUAACAUUGCACUGUUGAAAAACAGAGAGAAAGUCUUUAAAUUAUGUAUCAAGGUUAUUCUAGGGCAGGGAUAGCCAAUGCAGCGACUAGGGAUUGGGCAGAAAAUUGAUUCAGUUUGUACCUAAAGGCAAAUUUCCUGAUUUGCACUUCCUGAAACAAAGCGCAAACCAAAAUGUAGUCAUCCUUUGGGGUGGGGUGGGGUUGUGGGAUAUUAAAAUGGUAAUUAGACCAAACCUACCACCUUGAACUGCUCAGAGUGCUGUCCCACAAGUCCACAAGUACUAGCUAACAGGGUGGGGGCAACACCAGUGGCCAUUUUGCACAGGGCCCCCCUCAAACCUGGUGCUGGUGCUGAUCACCACAUUUUGCCACAGUGAAUGCCAUAAGUUAAUUACGUGUAUAGACAGUUACCGUAUUGGCCCGAAUAUAAGCCACACCGGCAAAUAAGCAGCACCUUCCAAAAAAAAAAAAAAAUAAUGGGGGGGGAGAGAAUACCCAAAUAUAAGCCGCUCCCUUAAAAUUGGGUUGCAGGCUGAAAGUCAUUGCGGUUGGUAGAAUUAUAACUCCGAGCCCAUUUAAGCCUUUGAUCUUGCAAGCCCGCAAAAGUUACUGUACAAUCGCUAAAACAGCAAAUUUCUAUUCAGUUGCUACAAUCCCCCAGGCACUCACACCCGUAAAUGGCAAAUGUAGAAGAAAAUCCUAUGGAUACUGGAGAGAACCCGCAGGUGGGUUAAACACCUGUUCGUAGCACCGUCAGUGCAAAUAAAAAAACUAAUACUGCACUGUAGAAUACAGGGAAAGCGAUGAAUGACAUUAGAAUUAAUUCCACAACAGUCUCAAGCUUCCAAAUCAGCAAUAAAAAUUUUUUUUUUGGUUCUGUUUUACCGUAUGUCUGUUUCAGCAGCUAUAUCGUAAAAGCCAAUUUUUGUAAGGUCGCUAAUUUAAGCCGCAUGUUAACUUUUCACAGUCGGAAUUUGGGGGAGAAAAGUGUGGCUUAUAUUCAGGCCGAUACGGUAACUUUUUCUCUCCUGUCGUGAAUCAUCUGCUAAUCAAUAGACCCCCUCCUGUCCCACUUGUCUUGUCUCACGGAUGCAGCAAACAGCUGGACCGUAUAUCGUUUGCCUGGAUAAAAGAUAGCAGUUUUACGUGAUGUCUAUCCAUCUCCUCUCCUGCACAGGCAGAGCAAAGUUGUCUGCCAAUAAUUGGACGAGGCUUUCUGAGCAUCAAACAUGGAAGCCCACUCAGGGGUUGUAAAUAGCAGGGGUGUUAAGAACGAUGGUCACCCCGCCAAAAGGAGAUGGGCUUAUGUAACCAUUCCCAGGGGUGUAAUGUUAAUGCGCCAAACGCAGGCUGGAGAAAAACGUGAUACAACACAGCCAAUGCUUACUAUGUGGCGUGGUUCAUUUUAAGUGCACCUCAAAAUAGCUUCCAGAAAAAUCAAGCCUUCAACAGUUUGAUGCGUUUAAAAUAAAACCAAAAUAAAAUAAAUGACAGGUUUAAAACAUGAGCAGGUUUUAAGAGUGGCGGAUCAUUUAUGCUGCUACAGUGCCGUCAAAGUAAUUGGGCUUACAGUAGCGUAUGAUCGCAUUUAUAAGCAUACAGUGCUGAUUUGAAGUGUUGCAUUUUGUAUUGCAUUCUUUGUUUCUGUGAGUUGCUGUCAGACUAAUACAGAACAGUUCUUGAGAUGCCUUGGGUGGAUGACAAGAAAAGCAUCAUGUUUAUCUCUAAAUGCUUGCGUGCCAUGUGUAUCAAGGCAAUAAUAAUAAUAAUAAUAAUUAAUAAAUGCCCCACCCAUUUGGCUGGGUUUCCCCAGCCACUCUGGGAGGCCUCCAACAAAAUAUUAAAAAUGUGAUAAAACAUAUAACAUUAAAAACACCCCUAAACAGGGCUGCCUUCAGAUGUCUUCUACAAGUCAGAUAGUUGUUUAUUUCCUUGGCAUCUGAUGGGAGGGUGUUCCACAGGGCAGGUGUCAAUACUGAGAAGGCCCUCUGACUGGUUCCCUGUAACUUCACGUCUUGCAGUGAGGGAACCACCAGAAGGCCCUCGGCGCUGGACCUCAGUGUCCAGGCUGAACGAUGGGGAUGGAGAUGCUCCUUCAGGUAUACUGGGCUGAGGCCGUUUAGGGCUUGAAAGGUCAGCACUGACACUUUGAAUUGUGCUCAGAAACGUACUGGGAGCCAGCGUAGGUCUUUCAAGACCGGUGUUAUAUGGUCUCGGCGGCAGCUCCCAGUCACCUGUCUAGUUGCCGCAUUCUGGAUUAGUUGUAGUUUCUGGGUCAUCUUCAAAGGUAGCCCCACAUAGAGAGCAUUGCAGUAGUUCAAGUGGGAGAUAACUAGAGCAUGUACCACUCUGAUGAGACAGUCUGCGGGCAGAUAGGGUCUCAGCCUGCAUACGAGAUGGAGCUGGUAGACAGCUGCCCUGGACACAGAAUUGACCUGCUCCUCCAUGGACAGCUGCGAGUCCAAAAUGAGCCCCAGGCUGCACACCUUCAGGGGCACAGUUACCCCAUUUAGGACCAGAGAGUCCUCCAUACCCGCCCGCCCCUUGUUCCCCCAAAACAGUACUUCUGUCUUGUCAGGAUUCAACCUCAAACAAGUUGUGCAGCAGUGAGAAGAAUCAUAGAAUCAUAGAAUCAUAGAGUUGGAAGAGACCACAAGGGCCAUCGAGUCCAACCCCCUGCCAAGCAGGAAACGCCAUCAGAGGACUCCUGACAUAUGGUUGUCAAGCCUCUGCUUAAAGACCUUCAAAGAAGGAGACUCCACCACACUCCUUGGCAGCAAAUUCCACUGUUGAACAGCUCUUACUGUCAGGAAGUUCUUCCUAAUGUUUAGGUGGAAUCUUCUUUCUUGUAGUUUGGAUCCAUUGCUCCGUGUCCGCUUCUCUGGAGCAGCAGAAAACAACCUUUCUCCCUCCUCUAUGUGACAUCCUUUUAUAUAUUUGAACAUGGCUAUCAUAUCACCCCUUAACCUCCUCUUCUCCAGGCUAAACAUGCCCAGCUCCCUUAGCCAUUCCUCAUAAGGCAUCGUUUCCAGGCCUUUGACCAUUUUGGUUGCCCUCCUCUGGACACGUUCCAGUUUGUCAGUGUCCUUCUUGAAUUGUGGUGCCCAGAACUGGACACAGUACUCCAGGUGAGGUCUGACCAGAGCAGAAUACAGUGGCACUAUUACUUCCCUUGAUCUAGAUGCUAUACUCCUAUUGAUGCAGCCCAGAAUUGCAUUGGCUUUUUUAGCUGCCGUGUCACACUGUUGGCUCAUGUCAAGUUUGUGCUCAGCCAAGACUCCUAGAUCCUUUUCACAUGUACUGCUCUCAAGCCAGGUGUCACCCAUCUUGUAUUUGUGCUUCUCAUUUUUUUUGCCCAAGUGCAAUACUUUACAUUUCUCCCUGUUAAAAUUCAUCUUGUUAUUUCAUGGGGACAUAGGAAGUUGCCUUAUAGUGAGCCAGGCCACUGAUCAUUCUAGGUGAAUAUUAUCUACAUAGACUACAGUGGCUCUCCACAACUUUAGACAUUCCCAGCCCUUCUUGGAGAUGCUGGGAUUUAACCUGGACCUUCCUACAUGCAAAGCUUUUUCAAAAAGUAGGUCUCUAGUCCCUUUGAUUUCGGUAAUAAAAGGAAAACAGUUGAUGAAGAUUUCUAACCAGUUGCUUAGCUGCAAUCAGUUAAUGCUAUAUUAGUAACACAGAUCCAGCAAACUUCUACUCAUAGCUGACCUGCUGAAAUGAAUGGAUUCCACCAUUUAAUCAAUUUAAAUUAAAAAAACCCAAUUUAAAUAAAAAAAAUCUGUUUUUCUUUUUUUUAAAAAAAAUCAUUGAUUUUUAUCCACCCUGAUUUAAGGCAGACUAUGAUGGAUGAAUUGUCCCCCUUCCUGGAGCUACUGGCUUCAGGCUCUUCUGCAAAAGUUACCAAAAUCCUUCCCAAAAGUAGGAGUGGUUUAUGUGUUGGUGGGACCCGAAGCAGACAAGAUGUCUCAAGACUGAGUGGAAGCAAAGAUAAAUUGAUAAGACAUUGAUUUGCUUAAAAACGACACAUGCUAAUUUAUAUGUACAGAUGCAAAUGUAGAAAUGAUUACAUUUUGCUAUAGUGGGAAGACUAUAGCCAGGUGUUCUGUGCACCUGCUCAGUCUGCUCCCCUGGUUCUAACUGCAGGGAAGAGAGUUGUACCUCAUUGGCAGAACACACGCCUUGCAUGUAAAGGGUUCCAGGUUUGAUCCCUGGUAUCUCCAGGUAAGGCUUGGAAAAAACAUCCGCCUGAAACCCCAGAGAGUCAGUGUCAAAAAUAUAAACCAGUCUGGCUCUGCAUAAGUGACACAUUCAAUUCAGUUCGCAUUUAAAACUGGAUCGAUCUAGUUCACGGUUCCCAAAACAACAUUCAAACCGAAGCACAGACGUCGUUUGAAAUUUGCACUUCCCUGAAUUUUGCAGUGCAGUUCUCCAGCCAACUUAUGUGUAGAAAACCUCACAUACUAAAGUGUGUGUAAAAAUGCAUGCAAUAGUCGAAAUAACAUUUUAAAAUGUGCUAUAUUAAGGACGAUUGCUUUGUGACACUGUAUAUGCUAGACAAAAUUGCAUACAAAAAUUUUCCGGUGUGUUUUCGUGACAACUUUAAAAAAUAAAAAUGAGCAGAAUGAUGUAGAAAUGUGGGGGGAAAUAAGCUACCAUGUGAAACCCAAAUUAGCAUGUUUAGCCAUUUUUUUAUAAGGCAGCUUCCCAAAUUCCUGCGUUCCUAUCGUGUCUUGGUAGAUAGAGGGAUCGGCUCUAAAGAUUUACAGAUGGGACUGGGAUGAUCAGAGUCACUUGUGACCCUUGCAGAACUGGAAAUUAAGUGGCUUAGGGGAACACCUUGUACACUACAUUUAUAUGAUGCCCUAUUUAUUAUGUUGCUACUGUAGCAUUCAGCGAAACCCUAAGAGAUGCCUUUCAGCUCUGUGUAAUUCAGCAGUCUGUUAUUAGCCGAGGAAAUGAAGACUCUGGGGGUGUCUAUGAUUCAACACUGUUUGCAUGUUGCAAUGGAAAGCAUUUUGAGGAAGUCAUCUAUUCCCCUGCUGUGUGUCGACCCCAAGAAAUAGAUUCCUUAGAGUAGGAGAUUCAGCAGAUACAAAAGGAAACACAUCUUCAUACAACACAUAGAUAAAUGAUGAAAUUUGCUACUGUAAGAUAUGGUGAUGGCCUCCAGCUGAGCUGUAAAUGUGGGGAUGAGACAAAUUGAUUGAGGAUAAGCCUACCAAUGACUACUUGUCAUGAUGGUUGUUUAUUGCCUUCAGGACCAGAGGCGUCCUGCUUCUGAUUCUGAAUAUUGCUGGGGAAAAGCAAUAGGGGAGGUGUAAUGUUGUCAUCAAGGAACACGGGUGGCGCUGUGAGUUAAACCACAGAGCCUAGGACUUGCCGAUCAGUAGGUCGGCAGUUUGAAUCCCCGCGAUGGGAUGAGCUCCCGUUGCUCGGUCCCUGCUUCUGCCAACCUAGCAGUUCGAAAGCACGUCAAAAUGCAAGUAGAUAAAUAGGUACCGCUCUGGCGGGAAGGUAAACAGCGUUUCCGUGUGCUGCUCUGGUUCACCAGAAGUGGCUUAGUCAUGCUGGCCACAUGACCCGGAAGCUGUACGCCGGCUCCCUCGGCCAGUAAAGCGAGAUGAGCGCUGCAACCCCAGAGUCGGCCACGACUGGACCUAAUGGUCAGGGGUCCCUUUACCUUUCAGGCCACCUGAGGCCUGUUGUCAGCUCCUGUUUCUGGGCUUCCCAGAAGUGAUUGACCACGGUGGGAGCCUCUAUAGCAGCAGCAGGAGCCACCCAGUGAGGACUUCCUAGACUUGGUGGCACUAACAUUUAGCUGCUUCAACAGCCAGGAGAUUCAGCUACAAAAUGGCAUUUGUUGGAACACUGAGUACGAGGCAGGGGGGACAGGACUUAUGUACACCUUGUACUGCCGUAACAACAUUUGCAUCUGAAGAAGUGUGCAUGCACAUGAAAGCUUAUACCAAGAACAAACUUAGUUGGUCUCUAAGGCGCUACUGGACAAUUUUUUUAUUUUUUAGUAUAUUUCAACCUUUGCAUCACUGUGUGUUUAAUUGUGUUUUAAAUGUAUUGUAAGACAUCUCUAGAACUUCAGUUCGUAGGUGGGGUAUAAAUAUUCAUUAAUACAUUAAUGAAAUAUAGAAAACAUUCUGGAUUAGUUGUAGUUUUGAUCUAUUUUAAAACCAUUAAAAAAUAAACAAAAAGAGAGAAAAUUGUCUGGGCCAUAUGAUGUCAGGGUGUGACCUGCCCAUGCCUGUGGGUCCUGUUUAUAGUUCUGGGUCAGAGACAUAAAACCACUUUGGCACAGAGGUUAAAACAUCAUGCUAGAUCUCAGACUCAAAUCCUUGAUCACCAUUUCCCAGUUAGCUUACCUCACAAUGCUGUUUCAAGGAUAACGUUAGGGGGAAGGUUGAAAGAAGAAGUUUGGACACAAUCUCUUUAAAAAGAGGUUUGGACACUAAAGCUGGAAAAAAAAAAGUUCUGUGCAUCCUUCUGGUGUCUGUGGAUAAAUGGAAGGUCCAGAAGUUGCAAAGUCUAAUUAUACAGGCUUCUAUUCAAUUGAUCCCCUGCCAGAAUCCCGACAAUAAUACUGAUCAAACAAUCAUAGUGAUUCAAUUGUGGGCAGGAAAAAAGCCUACAAUUGUGUUACUGUGUGUAAGAAUGGCAGAAAUCUAAUCUUUUAGAACAGGAAACAUUUUUCCUAUGCAGCUAGGCAACACUCUGUGCAUAGAAUACAUUCCUCCACCACUCAGCCAAAAAGGCAGCUUCGGAUCAAUUAAAUCUUUAGGACAGAUUGAAGCCAGCAAGACGCUUUUCUUUAAAAGGCAUAGUUCUAUUUUAGCACCGUGAGAGCUCUAGGAACAGCACUGGAGGUGUGUUGUGGGGGGGGGAAGUGCCAUUUCAUAGACAAUGCUCAGGUGUAUGCAAUAUAUAUUCAGCAAUGAAUAUCACAUGCGUGCGAGUUAGCAUGGCUGGCUGUCAGCAACUCAACUCUGGCAGGUAACCAAUUAUCCCAUUAUGGUGUUUUAGCUUCUUUGGCAGAAUUGCUUCUGUACCCUCUCUCCCAGAUGAGGCGUAAUGUGAGUCACAAUUUGGGGCGAUGAGCCUUUCUAGAUGACUACAAAAAGAAAGGGGGGGGGAGAAGGAGGCUAGGUUUUUUAUUUCUAAAACGCUUUUCUUGUGCAACUCCUCCGAUCCAGUGGCAGUAGGGCUAGUGUUAUAUAAUCUGAUUCCUGAGAAUGGAGACAAGGGGAGGCUGGGCUAGGCUGUUCCAUAUGUCCCACUGUUUCACAGGUGAAAACAGGGAAACAGUUAUAAAUACAACACGUCACAGCACCCAAUGCUUAUAUUGUGGAUCGCUACUUACUCAAGGCAUAUAUUCACGCAUACAUCAGUAUACAUUGCUAAAGCGUUUCCUUUUGCUUGUUCUACUUGGUCCUGGCUGUCAGUGGUUACUAGCCAUGAGCUAAAAGGUAAAAGGGGACGUGGGUCUAAACCACUGAGCCUCUUGGGCUUGCCGAUCAGAAGGUUGGUGGUUUGAAUCCCCACCACGCGGUGAGCUCCCAUUGUUGUGUCCCAGCUACUGCCAACUUAGCAGUUCAAAAGCACGCCAGUGCAAGCAGAUAAAUAGGUACUGCUGUGGCGGGAAGGUAAACAGUGUUUCCGUGCGCUCUGGUUUCCAUCAAGGUGUUCCGGUGUGCCAGAAGUGGUUUAGUCACACUGACCACAUGACCCGGAAAGCUGCCUGUGGACAAACGCCGGCUCCCUCGACCUGAAAGCAAAAAGACUGCCACAACCCCAGAGUCGCCUUUGACUGGACUGAACCGUCUAGGGGUCCUUUACCUUUACCUUUACUAGCCAUGAUGUUUCUUUUCUUCCGUAGGCAGUAUCAUACCCUCCAACAUUUCUCCGAUGCAAAUAGGGACGACCUACUUUUCUCCUCCUCUUCUUCUUCUUCAUCUUCUUCUUCUUCUUCUUCUUCCACUCUGGGCAGCUUCCAAGUAUAUAAAAACACAAUAAAACAUUAACAAAAGCUUCCCUAUACAUGGCUGCCUUCAGGUGUCUUCUAAAGGUUGUAUAAUUACUUAUCUCCUUGGCUUAGGAGUUGCAUAACUCCAACAUUUCUCCAACGGAAAUAGAUACCUCCUACUAUACCCUCCAACAUUCCUCAGAUGAAAAUAGGGACCUCCCAAGGAAAAGCGGGACAUUCUGGGAUCAAAUCAGAAACCGGGACGACUUCUGUGAAUCCGGGACUGUCCCUGGAACAUAGGGACACUUGGAGGGUCUGUGACACGCCUCCGAAUAUCAGUUGAUGGGAACCACAGCUGGGGAGAGGGCUGCUGCGUUCAAGUCCUGCUUGCGCACUUCCCAGAGGCAUCUUGUUGGCCACUCUGAGAAAAGGAUGCUGAACUAGAUGGGCAGCUACCCUGAUCCAGCAGGGUAGCUCAUCUUCUGUCCACAUCUACUCUGCAAUAGUAACCUGCCGUCCAGGGAGGAGUCUGGUGUUCUGGUUGGGCAGUCCCUUAACACAUCAUCAAAAAGAAGGGGCAGAUUUGCAUGAAAUUUGCAUAGGUACAGACGCAAUGUUAGAAAUCACAAUAAUAAUUUAAAUUAUAUCAAUCAAACAAUCAAUCAAAUCUUUAUUACAGUCAUAGACCAGCAUAAGUAGGGUAGGGUACAAUCAUUUAAAAUUUGUAAGCCGUUUUGGAAAGCUAAGUAUUAAAACAGAAGGUAUAUACAGUCAUACUUCGGGUUACAGCCGCUUCAGGUUGCAUUUUUUUGGGUUGCGGAUCGCCGGAAAGGGUUACUUCCAGGUUUCAGCAGUUGCGCAUGCGCAGAAGUGCUAAAUCACACUAUGCGCAUGCGCAGAAGUGCCGAAUCGCAACCCACGUGUGCACAGAUGCGCAGACGCAGGUUGUGAACACUGCGGAUUGCGAAUGUGCAUCCCACAUGGAUCAUGUUCGCAACCCAAGCUUCCACUGUAUAAAAGACUACAAGAAGCUGAAAGAAUCUAAAAGAAGGGUUAGGAGCAUUAAACAGAUGUGGAAGAGCAUAAAGGGUUAGUAUAUAAAAAACUGUAGCUAUCAAUUUAGAGAGCACUCUGAUAUGAGUGUUCAUUAAUUCUAGUUUGUGGCACAGGUCAUCACCCGACAAAUUUUGAACGCGGCUGUGAAGACUCUGGCAACAUUGUAUGUUGUAGCAGGGUUGGUAUAUGAAAGCAGCAGGGAGGUAUAGAAUUGUCCGGUGCACCCUGGGUACUUAUGGAGUAGUGGGGAGGUGAGGCUAAUACAAAUGUCUCUGUAUUAUAGGGCACUGGAGAAGCACAUGCUCUAUUGCUUCUAUUUGUCCAGAGUCACAGGGGCAUUGUCUCUCCGAGUAAACCAUUGACCUUCAGUGACAGCCGAGGGGAGGGCGUGACAUCGUGCCAGGGUAAAGGCCUUCCGAUGCUUAGGGACUUCGAGUUUAGUUAGAUAUGCCAUGGGGGAGGCAGAGUACCUGGCAGAUUCACUGGUGAUAAAAGUUAGGGUGCUGGCUAGAUCCAAUUGGUGCUCUGUGUCAGCUACAUGUUGUUUAAUGAGGGCUUUGGCCUGAUCGUAUCCUGAGUAGAAGACCUGGAGAGAAUUUAAAUUAUAUCUCACCUUAGUGAGGAAGACUGUGGCCAGGGGACCUGCCGGCUGGCCUGAACAAUCCAGGUGUGGAAGAGCAGCUCAAAGUCUGCACCUUGCUCUCCCUAUUUAUGAUAUCUUGAUCUUUAAACUAGACUUGGACCACAGAAUCAUUCAAAUAAGGAAUGCCCUUUCAUAGAGAACUGUUCUCCUUGGUGACAUGUCCUGGGAUGAAGUCCAUUCAUAGGAACACAGUAAGCUGCUUUCUUUCCUUUCCUUUCCUUUCCUUUCCUUUCCUUUCCUUUCCUUUCCUUUCCUUUCCUUUCCUUUCCUUUCCUUUCCUUUCCUUUCCUUUCCUUUCCUUUCCUGCUUUUCACCUCAAUCUUGGCUGCCUCUUUUGUUUUGAAAGGAGAGAAAAAAUACAAUCUCACACUUGUCUGACAAAACCACAACAAAGCCUAGUCAUUUCCAACAAACCUAUAGCUAUUUGCAGUCUGAAGUUAUGGUGGGUUGAAGUCAGCACCAAGCUGUAAUUAAAGUUAGCACAAACAGCCCUUGACGAGAACUUCAGGGAUAAAUGAACAUUAGUUCAUUCCUGGGUUGCUUGCUUUGUUUGUUUUGCUUUGAAUAAUAUGACAAGAAACAGCCAUGGUCCAGAAUGACAUCAAAGCCAUAUCUUGGAAAGCUGCCAGCUCAUGCUUGUUCCUGAGACCAAGGAGAGGUUUUCGUUUAUGUUUGGAUACAAUUGAAUGACAUUUUGAAUCAAGAUGGUGGUCUGAACUUUUAUUUUUAUUUUUUAAUUUUGUAAUUGUUCCGUCCCCCACAGUUUUAUCAUUUUAACAUAACAAUUUCAAACAUUAAAGUACAAGGGUCUUUGAACCUUUGGACCUCCUUCCUUCCCUCCAUCAGUUCCAUGUUUAAGAUUAAAUUUGCUGCAUCUUUUACCAUUAUCCAUCUGUUAAAUAACCAUGAUAAGCAUAAAUAGUUCCACAUUACGAGUGUCCUUACAUCCCUGCCAGAGAUUUUAACUGUUUACAGUGGUCUUUUAAAUAAAUUACAAAUUUACUCCAGUCUUUAGAAAAUGCUGGAUCUUCCUGGUUUCGGAUUUUCCCCAUCAGUUUUGCCAUCUCCACAUAUUCCGUCAGUUUCAUCUGCCAUUCUUCUUUUGUUGGUACUUCUCCUUCGUCCCUGACAAGAAUGUACCUGAUGGCGUGAGGACCUCCUGUGUUUAUUUUCCUUCCUUCCCUCUCUCGCAGGAAGGGGCUUGCACCAAGCUGGAUGAAGACAUCAUGGAUAUUCCCUUGGAUGACCCCAGUGCCAACGCGGCUGCCGCCAAGAUCCAGGCCAGUUUCCGUGGCCAUAUGACUAGGAAGAAGAUCAAAGGGGGAGAGCGCAAAAGCAAGGACCCCGAGUGCACGAGCAGCACUCGUGCGGGGGACCUACGCAAUGGAGAUUAAGUGGUAAGCAUCCGAAUGCCCCAGCCCAGCUUACUUGUUUUAUUGCGAGCCAUUCUUUUGCAUGUACCUAGUUUAAUUUAGGGACGUGGGUGGCGCUGUGGGGUUAAGCCACAGAGCCUAGGACUUGCAGAUCAGAAGGUCGGCGGUUCGAAUCCCCGCGACGGGGUCAGCUCCCAUUGCUCAGUCCCUGCUCCUGCCCACCUAGCAGUUCAAAAGCACAUCAAAGUGCAAGUAGAUAAAUAGGUAUUGCUCCGGCGGGAAGGUAAACGGUGUUUCCGUGCGCUGCUCUGGUUCGCCAGAAGUGGCUUAGUCAUGCUGGCCACAUGACCCGGAAGCUGUAUGCCGGCUCCCUCAGCCAGUAAAGCAAGAUGAACGCCGCAACCCCAGAUUCGGUCACGACUGGACCUAAUGGUCAGGGGUCCCUUUACCUUUACCUUUUAGUUUAAUUUACCUUCCUACUAAGAGCCUUGUGGUACCUGAAAGAUGAAACAAUUUAUUGUGGCAUAAGCUGCUAUGGUCUAGAGCAGGGAUGAGGGACCUGUGGGCCUCCAGAUGUUGUUAGACAAGAGUUGUUAUCAUCCCUGGACAUUGGCUAGGCUGGCUGGUGCUGAUGGGAGUUGUAGUCCAACAUCACCUGGAAGGCCACAGGUUCCCCCAUCCCUGCAGUAAUCUCUGCCCUUAUUUUCUUAACAAAGGGUCAGGGAGCCUAUGACCUUCCAGAUAGCAAUAAAUCCCAGCUCCCAUUAUCCUUGACCAUUGUCUGUGACCAAGCCAUCAUGGUCAACAGUAGGAAUUGAAGUGUACGUGGGUUCCCACAAGGCAAGACACAGUGAUAACAGCAAGAACUUUUAUUGAACUACAUAACUGGGAAACAGAGGACAAGCAACUGCUUAUAUACAUUUCUGAAGGCCUGGGCCACUCCCACUCUCAACAUGAUUGGCUGUCUAAAUUUCCAAACUGUGAAUCAUGACUCAGAGUUCAAGGGCCAAUGACAGAGGCCCAAAUCCUGAAAUGUUCUGUGAUUGGACAACAUGUAUCGAAUCAGAAUAUAGGAGCUCAGAAUCCGUAGUCCAGACUCAAGCUCAGGCAAACACAGACCACUGAAUACAUAACAGGAAUGAUUGGAGUUGGGGUCUAGCAACGUGUAAAGGGCCACAGUUUCCACAACUCUGAUUUAAAUGGAAGACUCAGUGACUUUCCUGCUGUGUGUAACUGUGGCAUUGUCUGUCCAAAAAUUCAUGAUAUGUUACGUCCUUCUACUAACUCCCAGGGUGUCAAAGAUGCCAAAUUCCAAGGGGAUUGAACAAAAGCUUCCUAUUAUUUCAGAGGCAAUUUUAAAAAGUGCACAUUCUAUACAUUUCCCAUUGAUUUCAGCAAAAGAUUCAGACAAUCUUCCAGGGGUCUCGUAUCAUCUUGGGUGCUUUUCAUUCCAAUGACAUGAAAUUUGCAGUCAUUCUAUUAUUCCCUCUGGGCAUCAGACCUGCCAAUUUUCAGAUGGAUUGGACAAAGGUUUCCCAUUUAAUAGGCAAUUAAACAAGGAGCAACAGACUCAGCCUAACUGCAGUCGAAACUCAAUAGAACUUACCACCAAGCUGUCAGUUUCAUGGUCUCUCUCUCCUCUUUCCCUGAGACAUUUUGGUGCACAGAUAAGUAAUGCAAACAAUUCGGCCUUCCCCAUCCUGGUGCCCUUCAGAUGUUAUGGACUACCACUCCCAGCAGCCCCAGCGGCAUGACAGUGCUGACUGGGGCUGAUGGGUUUUGUAGUCUAAAACAUCUGGAGGGCUCUAAUACAAGCUCAUUCCAAGUGCAUGGAAAAAGAAAACAAAUGGAAUUUCAUUUCCGGGCACGUUCGUUCCCAUUUUUCGUUCGUUUUGAACAUUCAUUUCUGCAGCGCAUCCGAAGGACAAAACAAACAGGCUUUGAAAAGCCUUGUUGCAAUCACUGCAUUGUAACCAAUACUAUCAUUGUAUCAUUUUAAUGGCCAAGAUAACCAUUCAUUAUUCUAUGCAGCGAUUUUGCAGUAAUAAUGAUGAAUACGCCCACUAUGCCCGCCCUGUAGAGAAUGAAAACUCAUGCUUUCUAUUACUGUUUAUGGUCUCCAGAACUGAUCCCUGCCCUUUCCUCAUUUUCCCACUUAAGCACAUACAGUGGUACCUUGGUUCUCAAACUUAAUCCGUUCCAGAAGUCCGUUCCAAAACCAAAGUGUUCCAAAACCAAGGCACGCUUUCCCAUAAAAAGUAAUGCAAAAUGGAUUAAUCCAUUCCAGACUUUUAAAAACAACCCUAAAACACCAAUUUAACAUGAAUUUUGCUAUCUAACGAGACCAUUGAUCCAUAAAAUGAAAGCAAUAAUCAAUGCACUGUACUAUAAAAUAAAUAAGACAAUAUUGUAGAUGAUUAAAAUUAAAAUUAUUUUUUUUUCUUACCUACACUGAUGAUAGUCAUCAGGUUGUAGGGCAUUUAUCCAUUUACGCAGUUACACAACCAACCAGUAGCUGAACUGGGUUCCACACAGUCACAAAAACAAAUUAACCGAAAAAGCCUCAAAAACAAAAACACAAAAUAAAUAGCAAAAACAAAAGCGCCAAAUGUAAUCCGUUCUGGAAGUCUGUUUGACUUCCAAAAUGUUCGAAAACCAAGGUGCAGCUUCUGAUUGGUGCAGGUGCCCCGGAAACAAUAGCCGACAGCUGCAUUGGACAUUUGGCGUCUGAAAAAAAAUGUUCGAAAACCAGAACACUUACUUCCAGGUUUUUGGCAUUUGGGAACCAAGGCUUUUGAGAACCAAGGUACCACUGUAUUGUUGAAACUGAAGGCAAAGGUGGUUUGAUGCUUGUUCAUAGAAACAUGUCAACUUUCACUAAAGCUAUGGGCUUAGUCUGUUAGUGUUGUACCUACUGAAGAUUUUCGGACACAACACUAAAUUAUGGUGUAGCAUCAUGUAAACGAGCCUCACACUGCUCAGACACAAAGUGCCUCAGGUCCAUUGGUACCAAAUGAAUGGUUCACUAUCACCAACCACGACAGGAGUGCAUGAUGCUCUCCACCUGGUGACUGAGAUAUUGAUGAUGAUGAUGAUGAUGAUGAAGAAGAGUUUGGAUUUGAUAUCCCACUUUAUCACUACCCGAAGGAGUCUUAAAGUGGCUAACAUUCUAGCCAAACCUGAUUCAGCCUGUGUACACAACAUACAUUCAAAGCACAUUCUCCCUCCCACAAAGAAUCCUGGAAACUGUAGUUUAUCCCCCAUAGAGCUACAAUUCCCAGCACCCUUAACAACCUACAUGGAUUCUUUGGGCAGAAGUCACACGUGUUACAUAUGCUCCAAGUGUGCAGUGUGUCUGCAGCCUUGAAGGAAGACACAUUAUGCAAGGUGGCCAGAGAUGUGUGGCAGAACCCACUGCAGCAGCACAGCAUGUUCAGCCGGUGCAUUUUGCAGAAUUCGUUGCUGCAAGACACGGGUAUGACCGCUGGCUCAGAUGACUUUAAAGCACCAGAUAAACUCUUGGCAUGGACGUCCUAUGGGCAAUGACAGCUAAAUGGCAUCUUUUAUGCUCAGUGGAGUUCUAAAUUCUGUUUUGCUGAGGUCGGGGGGCAGGGAGCAAAGGAGACACUUCAUAGCCUGCUUGUUGGCUUCCUGGAAACAUCUGCAUGCCCUUCGUUGGGGAGAGGAUGCGGGUUUAGAUGGACCCUCAGCCUGGCUCUUUUUUUGUGUACUCUGUAUCCAGGGGCCUCUUUUAAAGGACUCACCCUGUAUAAAGCAGAUCCUCUCUCCAAAAUAAUGUCUGGAAAUCCUGUAUUUAUUUUUAUUUUUUUAAGAAUAUUGAGAUCAUACUGACCCUUUCUCUUUCUGCAUGGUAGUCAGCAGCUUUGUAGUGCGUCCACCACAAAAGCAGUCUCCCCUGCUCUAAUGUUGCUUUCAGAUUUAGGUCCCGACAGUUUGGUGAACUUUCAGUUUGGUGAACUUUCAGUUUGGUGAACUUUCAGUUUGGUGAACUUUCCCGCAAGGGUGAACAGCACCGAAACCACACCUGAGAUCCCCUGUUGAUGCUUUUAAAGACUUCCUGGUUUUGUUGCUUGUUGCUUUUCAUGCACCAUUUAUUUGAAGACAUUUUAAUGUUUUCUUACAAGCUGCCCUGAUAAUGUACUGGGUGCAAAUCCCUCCCUCCGUUAUUGGUUCUCCCUCUUUUUAAAACAAAACGUUGAAUACCGCCAUGGAAGGGUAAAGAUCACGAUGUUCCGUUGCACCAGAAGCAGUCUAAUCAUGCUAGCCACAUGACUCGGAAAGCUGUGUGUGGACAAACACGGCUCCCUUGCCCUGAAAAGCAAGAGGAGUGCCGCAACCCCUUAUUCACCUUUGAGUGGACUGAACUGUCGAGGGGUCCUUUACCUUUUUACCUUUUACAGGGGAGAGAGGACCCGGGGCUGUACAAAGCACAAUGAGACCGAAGCAGAAAUAGAUUGAGAAAAGCAGGCCACAUGACGUAUCCAGUACAGCUUGCCCUUUGAGGCUGUCAGAUUGAGGACAAGAAGCAAACAAUGUGACCUGCUCUGUUCCAGACGAACGAGUUCAACGUGGCACACUUUGCUCUCCUCCCCACCCCCAUCUUAAUGCUCAUAACAAACCUGCCAGGUAGUUAGGCCAAAAGUAGCAACUGGCCCAUGGUCACCCUGUGACAGUGGCAUAACGUUGGUUGCUGGCACCCAGGGCAUGGGUGAGGCAGGAACACAUGUGCCAGGCGGAGGGAUGUGUGCAGACCCCAGUCCUUGCUGCCGCUGAAGUGACCCCCAUCUACAGCAGAGCAAAGCAGGGCCACGCUGAACCACCUGCCUGUCUGCGCAGGGGUGAGCCUGGCUGGCCAACGUGGUGGGCAGAGAGGAGACCAGGCUGGGCCAAGUGGGGUCACCUGUGUGGGGGCACCUGGUUUGCGCCCUCUCAAAAAAUGUAUGCCCAGGGCCACGGCCCUGUGGCCCUCUCACACUACGCCCCUGCCCAGUGAGCUUCAUGGCUGAGUGAGGAUUUGCACCUGGGUCUCUCUCGGCCAAGUCUAACACUCACACCUGGGGACAGGUGUCCUGUUCCAUCCUUCAGAUUAGGCUGCAGUUCCCAUUGGCACCAGCCAGCAUGGUCAGUAGCCAAGGAUAAUGGGAAUUGUAGUCCAACAGCAUCUGGGGAACCGCAGGUUUCCCAUGCCUGCUCUAACCUCUACACCACUGAGGCAUUUGUUGGUUCUUCACUGUGGUAUUCUAUUUAUAUAUGCUGGGAUGGCACAUCCAUUAAGCAAGUGUAUAGUAAAACCUGUUGUUGUUGUUGUUGUUGUUGUUGUUGUUGUUGUUGUUGUUGUUGGUUUUGCUACAGUCCUGUUUUUUGCUUGGCUUAUUCCAAGAGCUUUUUAAAUAAUAAUAAUAAUAAUAAUAAUAAUAAUAAUCUUAAAAUGCCACAUCCCACUUUUCUCUCUCUCGAAAAGAAACACAGAGUGGCUGAUAAGAAUUAAAAUACACCCAUUAGAAACAAUUUCAAAUGCAUGCAAUACAAACACAUUCAAAGGCAUCCAAUAAAAAUGAAUUCAGAAAAUGCAUCAAAAAACCAACGCUCUAAAAACAAAAAAACAACAGAUUUCCAAAAAUCAACAAAAACAACAACUUGUAAACAAACACCAAAGAGAGAGCAAGGCAAAGAUGGCAUCUUGCCGCCUCCAGAAGGGCUAAAUUUACAUUUUGUAUCAUUCAUGUAUCUGGGUAUUUUAAAACCAUAAAGCGCUUUGGGUACCUUGGCAGAAUCAGCCAGUCGGUGGUUUGGAAAGGAAAAUAGCCUCCAUAGAUACAUAACGAGGAGAAGAAAGUUUUCCAGCUCUGUGAAAACAUUGAAGCAUUUUGUAAGUUGCUUUAGUCACAUGGCCCUGAGGAAGCAGAGAGGCAUCCAUGCAUGAUUUCUGCACCGUAUUUUAUUCCCUGUUGUAGAGCAUCUUCAUAGCUAAAAAGCCAAUGCAAUUCUGGGCUGCAUCAAUAGGAGUAUAGCAUCUAGAUCAAGGGAAGUAAUAGUGCCACUGUAUUCUGCUCUGGUCAGACCUCACCUGGAGUACUGUGUCCAGUUCUGGGCACCACAAUUCAAGAAGGACAUUGACAAACUGGAACGUGUCCAGAGGAGGGCAACCAAAAUGGUCAAAGGCCUUAUGAGGAACGGCUAAGGGAGCUGGGCAUGUUUAGCCUGGAGAAGAGGAGGUUAAGGGGUGAUAUGAUAGCCAUGUUCAAAUAUAUAAAAGGAUGUCACAUAGAGGAGGGAGAAAGGUUGUUUUCUGCUGCUCCAGAGAAGCGGACACGGAGCAAUGGAUCCAAACUACAAGAAAGAAGAUUCCACCUAAACAUUAGGAAGAACUUCCUGACAGUAAGAGCUGUUCGACAGUGGAAUUUGCUGCCAAGGAGUGUGGUGGAGUCUCCUUCUUUGGAGGUCUUUAAGCAGAGGCUUGACAACCAUAUGUCAGGAGUGCUCUGAUGGUGUUUCCUGCUUGGCAGGGGUUGGACUCGAUGGCCCUUGUGGUCUCUUCCAACUCUAUGAUUCUAUGAUUCUAUGAUUCUAUGAUUCUAUGAUUCUAUGAUUCUAACCCUGUAAGGUAGGUUCAGCUGAGAGAAGCAGUGAGCAGCCUAAGGUUAACUAGUGAAUUUAGUGGCUGGAGGGGAUUUGAACACAAGCCUUCUACAUGUGACACUCCAGCCACUGAAAAAUGGCUUCUAUGCACGAUUGUGUGUUCUCUGCACUUCAAGUUACCUUCAGGGCAGCUUGCAGGUGUCUAAUUGAGUGAGGACAAGGUAUUUUUGGUGGUAGUUCUGGGGCUUUCAAUUGCCCUCUUUGUGGAGAUUCCUCCAGCUCCCUCCUUGUUUUCUUUUUGAUGGAAGCUGAAAAUAUUUCCUUUUUUCGGGGGGGGGGGAUUAUUUGGUUUUUCAAAUUAAAAUUUUACAGAGAUAUAUCGAACAUAAAUAAUGAAAACAAGAUUCCAAGAAGUCUCCUGGACUUCCAUCCUCCCCUUUGUGGAUCCUAUUAUGAAUCAUUUCCUCCCGCAUCUUUUAGGAUGAUCCAAAUCUUUUACAUCUCCAUUGUGUCCAAAAUUCACCCUGCAAGUGAUAUCCCAAUCCUACUAAUGAUUUUAACUGCUUACAAUAGUCUUGAAGAGAAGUUAUAAAUUUCCCCCAUUCCUUAUUAAAAUUUAUGACUCUUCCGGUCAUUUUAGCCAUUUCAGCAUAGUCCAUCAACUCGAUCUGCCAUUCUUCUCUUCUUUCCAUCUCUGGGCCCUGUAACAUCCGUGCAGCCGUGGUCGCCUACAUAAAUAUGGUACUCUUUUCUGCUCCCUUGGGAUUUUGGCACCUAGAAUUCCUAAAAGGAAGGCUUCAGGGGUUUUUUUUUUUUAGCAAAGGUUAUUUUAAACAUUUUUGAAGCUGAAAAUAUUUCCAUUUGAACAGGCUCUUAAAGUUUAUCACUGCUGCUGCUUUUAAUAUGUAGGAAAAAUAAGACCAUCUAGCUUAGCGUUUUCUAUACUCAUGGGAAGCAGUUCUUCAGGGAGAAGUGAGUUUAAUGGCUGCUACUUUUAAUGAUUGCUGUCCAAAUUAGUGACUUUAAUAUUGUGUAUUUUAUUUCUGUUUCUUUUGAAAGGCACUCUGGCUGCCCAUUUGAACAGGAGCUGUUGCUCUUAAAUUUUAUACCAUAAGCUUAGAAUUAGAUGCUGGGCAAAUUUUUCAGCUCCCUCCUCCCUCCCUUCCUCCCUCCCUUCCUUCCAAGUUGCUAGACCUUAAGGCUGCAAUGAGAACUGGAAACAAUGCCUGUUUAAGCUGAUGUGUCAGCAUGAGAGCCGGACUUGCACUGGGGGCUUCAAUCCUUGGCACUAUUCCUUGACACACACCCCCCCCCCAUGGCCAGCAGAAAAUACUUAUGCAAAAAAGAAGCGAAUGCAUUCAAUUUUCACAAUUUAUUCCAGGUGCCAAUUUGAAUCCCCCUCCUGUUUUAUUUUUAUUUUUUUAAAAAAACUUGUCUCUAGAGUAUCUUCCCUGUGUAGUCAGACUAGAUGAUUCUUGACAUCCCUUCGUACUCAUUUCGGUGGAAAACAGAUGCUACGUGCUGUGCAGACUUGCUGGGAAGAUUUCUGGCAGAGAAAAAUAAUUAUUUUUCCGCGCUCCCUGCCCUCAGCUGAGUUGAUGUGUACUUCUAAUGCUACUUGCUCCAUGUUGGGUGUUGUCAACUCAACAGCAAGCUAGGAGCAUCGCACAAAUUGUCAUUAUUAUGGAUAAAUGGUAAGGCAGGCUCAAGCUUAGUUCUGUCCCUGAAGCAAUUAUGAUGAUCAUGAUUAUUAGUAGUAGCAUUUAUAUUAAUUAGUUGCUUUAUUCAUAGAAAUGACUUACGGACACAAUAGAAAUGCUAAAAGCAAUUAGUUGUACCUCGGAUCCUGAACGCCUUGCGAGUUGAAUGUUUUGGUUCCUGAACGCCACAAACCCAGAAGUGAGUGUUCUGCUUUGUGAAUGUUUUUAGGAACCCGCACGUCCAUUGCAACUUCCACGGCUUCCUGCAGCCAAACGGAAACAGUUCUUUGGUUUUCGAACGUUUUGGAAGUUGAACGGACUUCCUGAAUGGAUUCUGUUUGACUUCUGAGGUACCACUGUACAAUGAACAGAGUUCAUAAAAACCUUUUUUUUAAAAAAAAAACACAACCCCAAACAAACCUUAAACAUCUAUGCAAAUAAAAGACAGGAGUAGCAGAGGGACUAGCACCUUUAAAAUCCAAAUGUGUUUUGGGAAUUUGGAGCGGCAAUUUCCUAUCCUUUUUCAUUGACAGUUAUGAGGCAGCAGGGAAUCAAUCAGAUGCAAUUCUCCUGCACUUCUGUACUCAGGGGUGUGUGUGUGUGUGUGUAGAAACACCCACGCCAAACCUCUUUCUGCCAUUAGCAACUGUGAAUCAUGGAAAACUUUUAACCACUGUUAUAGAGAAAAAUCUGCUCCUUUUCCCUUUCCUGGAGCCCGUAUAGUGUCCUUAAGUGGUAGGAGAAAUAACAGAGGCCAGCCACAGAAUAUUGAGAAGCAAAGCAGCUAGUAAGCCUGAUCUUUAUUAAACUGUUGCAACAGGGUCCUCACUCACCAUACGCAGGAGGGAGGAGGAACCCAGAACAGUGGUGUGCAAGCCCUCCUAGAGACUUUUGAAAUUGCCCACCUUGUAGCUCAAGACCACCCCUCAAAACAUCAUACAUACAUCACAGAAGGAGGCAGUCUACAGCAGAAAUGGAUCACAGGAGGUGGUUUACAGCAGAAAUCCUGUCUGCCAGGAUACCUGACAAUGGUCACUGAUUGCUUUACCUGGCCAGCCCGGCCAUUCUUUUGCAAUGGUAAAUACUUUAAUUCCUGGAUCCAGGUCACAGGCUCACCCUUUGUUGUUGUUUAGUCAUUUAGUUGUGUCCGACUCUUCGUGACCCCAUGGAACAGAGCACGCCAGGCACUCCUGGCUUCCACUGCCUUCCGCAGUUUGGUAAAACUCAUACUGUAGCUUCAAGAACACUAUCCAACCAUCUCGUCCUCUGUCGUCCCCUUCUCCUUGUGCCCUCCAUCUUUCCCAACAUCCGGGUCUUUUCCAGGGAGUCUUCUCUUCUCAUGAGGUGGCCAAAGUAUUGGAGCCUCAGCUUCACGAUCUGUCCUUCCAGUGAGCACUCAGGGCUGAUUUCCUUCAGAAUGGAUAGGUUUGAUCUUCUUGCAGUCCGUGGGACUCUCAAGAGUCUCCUCCAGCACCAUAAUUCAAAAGCAUCAAUUCUUCGGCAAUCGGCCUUCUUUAUGGUCCAGCUCUCACUUCCAUACAUCACUACUGGGAAAACCAUGGCUUUAACUAUACAGGCUCACCCUGUUCAUACACAAAUACGCCCUUAAGACAGGUAAGCAAAAGAAAAUGGAGAGACUUUCCCAUUUCUUUCCUUCUUGCAGAGAAAUAUUUGAGGUCAAUUUGGGACAGUCAAAAUGGUUUGGGAGAGUCAAAAUGAGUUCAUGAUUGCUCUGCUGUACUAUUUCAGACACGUGGUUUAUGUAAUUACCGGUAUGUAUGUGUUUGCCUUGUACAUUUAUGAACCUUUAUUUUAUAUUUGGGACCUUAGAAUUCUUAUAACACCACCCACUGGCAAACCUAGCUCUCCCCUCUAGAAAUGCAAACUCCUGGCCUUUGUUUAGGCAGCACCCCCUGGGCACAAUUGUGUGGGGUUUUGAGUGUUCACCCCGGCGGUUGUGGGAAGCAACUGAGCAAGGAGAGGAAAAUGUGCUUACAUAUUAGGAGCAAUUUGUUUAGAAUGGUUAUUAGCUCAGCAAGACGCCACUUUCCUUCCACCCACCACCCUGAGAAAACUCUGCUGGCGCACCAGCCGAGAGGGGCAAUUAGCAGGCCACAAGAUGCCACUUUUAAAAUCUGGGAUCCCUCAAGCAUGCAGUUGCGUCAAGACAAAUAAGUUCCAUCUGCUUCAGCCAAGAAUGAAGUUGCAUUCCGCUGCCCCCUUUGGGAUUGUGUUCUGCAAAAGGACGGUUUAGAACAGUCCAAAUCUAGCCCAGGCAACCUGUGUGUAAUAAACCAUCAAUCUGUCUGCUCCAAUCUCUACUUUCCACUUUUCUCUGAUAAAUAAAUCACAACACUGUCUGCUAAAUCCACCCCACACUCCUGCACUUCUCCUCAGUACAGAAAGUCACAUUUUAAAUAACUAAACAUACCUUUCAACCUUGGAAAUAAUUAUGCAGAUUUGAUUAAUUCCCUUUGAGAUGAAUAAAUGAAAUUAACUACCUCAUUGUUGUCAACACCAUACUGUUUUCUACAUAUAAAUGGGUUCAUCAUCUCAAAAAAGAGCUUUUUUAAUUCUUAAAAAAAACCCCCAAAACUAAAUUAACUUUUAAAGUUACAAUUACGUGCCAAGAAGAAAAGAGAAACAUGGAGUAGUUGUCUAUAGCUUGUCUUAUGUACAGUGGUACCUUGGGUUACAUAUGCUUCAGGUUUCAUACGCUUCAGGUUACAGACUCUGCUAACCCAGAAAUAGUGCUUCAGGUGAAGAACUUUGCUUCAGGUUGAGAACAGAAAUCGUGCUCCGGCGGCGUGGUGGCAGCAGGAGGCCCCAUUAGCUAAAGUGGUGCUUCAGGUUAAGAACAGUUUCAGAUUAAGUACAGACCUCCGGAACGAAUUAAGUACUUAACCCGAGGUACCACUGUAUUAUGAAUAUUAGAGUUUAUUAUUGUGCCAUCAAUGCGUGUGCCAGUAUAAGUAUAAGAAGUCAGGUCCUUUCACUCAAGGAGCUUCCAAACUACAUUUCAAAUACAGUGGUACCUCUGGUUACCAACUUAAUUCGUUCCAGAGGUCCAUUCUUAAACUGAAACUGUUCUUAACCUGAGGUACCACUUUAGCUAAUGGGGUCUCCUGCUGCCGCCACUGUGCGAUUUCUGUUCUUAUCCUGGGGCAAAGUUCUUAACCCGAGGUACUAUUUCUGGGUUAGCGGAGUCUGUAACCUGAAGCGUAUGUAACCCGAGGUACCACUGUACUUCCUUGCUCCUGGGAAGAUUCAGGAUCCUGAUCAGGAGGAGGAAGAGGCUCCCACCAUUCCUCCUCAGCGCAGCCCUCCUCAGCACGGUUCCUGACCCCAACCUUCUGGUGGCCGCAUGCCAGAGGUGGUGGGGGCAGAUGCAAAGGGGCAGAGCAAAUGGGUGCAACUCUUCCCUGCCUUUCAAAAACCAGAGGAAGGAAGCAGCACCGUCACAGUUCCAAGGCACAUUCUGGCCAAUCAAAAACAUUCAGGGGUGGUGGCCUGUGGGUGGGUUUGUAACCUGGGGGGAAUCGCAUACCCUGCAAGUUUCUCUAUUUCCCAGUGACAGUCCUGGAAUUAUGAAAGCUUCUGGCUUCUGAUUUGAUGCCGGAAUGUCCCUAUUUCCCCAAACAUUGCCACCACCGCCAAGGUGGGAAAGGAGGAGGAUGAUCCAUCGCUUGUCCUGAGCUGUGUCGGCGGCAGUGGUGGCUGCAAGGGAGCAUAUUGUUGCCUCCCCAUGGCUUCUCCUCCCCAUGGCUGCCAGUGCCGGCCUCCUCCCUUGGGCAACUGGUAGCAUCCUCUGGGAAACAGUCACGAAGGCAGCAGGGAGGCCGUGUGACAUGCUGACUCUGUGGGGUUGGAGUGGAAGAAAGGGAGAGCAGAGAACAAGGAGUCUUGAUGAUGAUGAUGAUGAUACAGUCAUACCUCGGACUGAAUAUGCUUCAGGUUGAGCGUUUUCAGGCUACGCUCCGCGGUGACCCGGAAGUAACGGAACACGUUACUUCUGGGUUUCGCCGCUGGCGCAUGCGCAGAUGCUCAAAAUGACGCCGCGUGAAUGUGCGGAAGCGGCGAAACGCGCCCCAUGCACGCGCAGAUGCGUGUUACGUUCUACUCAUCAGGCGAAUGGGGCUCCAGAACGGAUCCCAUUCGCAUCCAGAGGUACCACUGUAAUAGGUAAGAGGUAAAGGAUCCCUGGACAGUUAAGUCCAGUCAAAGAUGACUAUGGGGUUGUGAUGCUCAUUUUGCUUUCAGGCCAAGGGAGCCGGCGUUUGUCCACAGACAGCUUUCCGGGUCGUGUGGCCAGCAUGACUAAACCUGUUCUGGUGCAACGGGACACGGUGACGGAAACCAGAGAACACGGAAACGCCUUUUACCUUCCCACCGCAGUGAUACCUAUUUAUCUACUUGCACUGGUGUGCUUUUGAACUGCUAGGUUGGCAGGAGCUGGGACAGAGCAAUGGGAGUUCACCCUGUCAUGGGAAAUCGAACCGCCGACCUUCCGAUCGGCAAGCCCAAGAGGCUCGGUGGUUUAGACCACAGCGCCCCACCCACAUCCAAUAAUAAUCAUAAUAAUUUAUUUGUACCCCGCCCAUCUGACUGGUUGCCCCAGCCACUCUGGGCAGCUUCCAACAUAUAUAUAAAAAAUGAUAAAACGUUAAACUUUAAACAAAAGCUUCCUUAUAUCAUGGUUGUCUUCAGAUGUCUUCUAAAGUUUGUAUGGUUACUUAUCUCCUUGGCUCAGGGGUUGCACAACUCCAUACCCUCCAACAUUUCUCCGAUGAAAAUAGGGGCGUCCUAAGGGGAAGCGGGACAUUAUGGGAUCAAAUUAGGAACCCGGACAGCUUUUCUAAAUCCGGGACUGUCCCUGGAAAAUAGGGACACUUGGAGGGCAAUAGCCUUUUCCCUGCUCAGGAUCUCCAACAACUGGCAUUCAGAGCCAUAACCCCCAGCUGUGUGAGUUAUGCAGGGAUAUAAAAAAGUGGCCCCCUGUGAUAUUUUAAACACCCUUAUCGUAUACUGGAAGGACUGGAGGCACAAUUGCAUGUGGAAAGAUUUAUUGGGUCUUCAAAAGGUCCUUAGAUCCAUGGAAUUAAGACACUCUUUUAGGACAUCUGAAUUUGCCCUCUUCAUUCCAGGUGCACAAUUUCUCCCCUGCACAAAUAGGCUUGCAAUCCUAUUCCGCAGCAUGAUUUCAUUAGCCCAAUCCAUCUGGGGAUAUCGUUGGCAUAUGCAAAGCUUAUAUGCUUUCCCCUGAAAGCAUUUGCAGACCAAAUGUACAGGUUUGCGGGGGAGGAAAGACGUUGGAAGGGAAAUGGAAUUUGGCCUUCUGACAAAUUAAGAUAGUAUUUGAUGUAAAAAAGCAACGUGGUCUGUUUCCUUUCAUCUUUUCUUUUUAAAAUUUAAAUGAAAACCCUAAAGCCAUAUUUGCUGAUGAGUUGUUGCAUGUAUGCUGUGGAGUGCAAGUCAGAUAGAUGGAGCGUGUCUGACGCUUGUCAUACGGGGACUGCAAAUAUUGAUGUGAAUUAUUGACCAGUGAAUCUCAGCCUGCUGCCAUGAGGGGGGAGGGAAGGAAGAGAGAGUGACUGGGCCAGCUUCUAAGUAAUGCCAAAUAGUUUUUAUCACCAAGCCCAGAAGUUCUCAAAUUGUGGUCCAUAGAGCAAUGAUCACCUUUGAGCCCCACUCAACAGCUGGGAAUAUCUGUACUUAGCUUCUGCUUUUGAUUAAAUUUUUUUACUGAUGACGGAGAGGGAGGCUGUUUUGACUGGGGCAGAAUUAGGGGUGGGUGAAUCUGUCAAUUUUGGCUUCUCAUUUUUCCAGUCCCCAGUUUGCCCCAUUUCACAUCAUUUUACCAAUUUUUUUUUACAAGAAGUGUACAUGAAAAUGUGCAUGUGUUUUCAUACCUGUUUCCCUUCAAGCCCACAGUUUUUGCAUGUAUUUUUGCCCAAUGUAUACGUUUUUGCAAGAACCCCCCCACCGCCCCCCCAAUUUUGUACAUGUUUGUACAUUGUGUACAUCUUCAAGGUUUUGCUACUGACAUAGGAAACCCUGAACAGCUGAAGAUCAGAAUACUUGGCAGACUGAGUGCCUAAGAACAUUGGAAGCUGUCUUAUACCUGUAAUGAAUCCGACCAUUCAGCCAUCUAUUGCCUACUCUGACUGACAGUGGCUCUCCAAGUUUUCUCUCCUUUUUUUGCAAUUUAAUCUUUAUUGCUUUUAAAUAUUGAAUCCAUUCACCACAAAAAAAACCCAAAGAAAAAACAAAUCACAUCAAAUACACAUAAAAAAUAUGUUACAUAUAAAAUAAAGUUCUUCCAUACGUUGAGACUUCCGUCAUCCUCAGUAUGGGUCCUUUGUUUCCUUGUUGACUGCAUAUUGUAUGACCUUUAACUUAUCAUAAAUUAUCUAUAAUCUUUGUAGCAUAUCACACUGCAGAAGUUAAUCAAAGCAUGUCAAAGAUUUCAUAUGUGAUCAAUGUUCUUUUAAAUAUAUAUCCCAUUCUUUGUUAAACUUUUGGUUUGCCUGGUUCCUCAUUUCCCCUGUCAUCUUUGCCAAUUCUACAUAGUCAAAUAAUUUCGCCUGCCACUCCAUUUUAGUGGGUAUUUUGACUCCCUUCCACCAUUUGGCUGUCAGCAUUCUCGUGGCAGUGGUUACAUACAUGGAUAUCUUCCUCAGUUCGGCUCUCCAGGUUUUCAGACAGUAUUCUCCCCCAGCCUUACCUGUUGAUGUUGGGGGUUGAUCCUGGGGACACUUCUCCAUUGGGGAAUACCCUGCUGGUCAUGUCAUGGUUGGCAGAUCACCAUCUAGUGACAACAAGGAACAGCACCUUUUCCAUAGCUCCACCAUCCACCAAGCCUCUGCACCACCCUCCCCCAUGUGAUUCGAGAGGCAUCAACUAGGACAUGUCUUAAUUUGUUCAGGUGUCCUGACCAUUAAGCUUUGGGUUGCACUGCUCAAUAUUUUGUUGCAGGAUCUUGAUCCUAAAAUUUUGUAGACUGUAUCUAUUUUUAUUGACAAGUAGGCAAAUGGGGGGACGCGGGUGGCGCUGUGGGUUAAACCACAGAACCUAGGACUUGCUGAUCAGAAGGUUGUCGGUUUGAAUUCCUGCGACGGGGUGAGCUCCCGUUGCUCGGUCCCUGCUCCUGCCAACCCAGCAGUUCGAAAGCACAAGUAGAUAAAUAGGUACCACUCCGGUGGGAAGGUAAACGGCGUUUCUGUGCGCUGCUCUGGUUCAUCAGAAGCAGCUUAGUCAUGCUGGCCACAUGACCCGGAAGCUGUACACCAGCUCCCUCGGCCAAUAAAGCGAGAUGAGUGCCACAACUCCAGAGUCGUCCGUGACUGGACCUAUUGGUCAGGGGUCCCUUUACCUUUUUAGGCAAAUGGCUCCUGCCAACCUAGCAGUUCGAAAGCACGUCCUGUUUUCAUUUUAAAUGUGUUUAUUUCAACUGGGCCUGAUUCCUUAUGUGUGUAUGCAUGCACUAGAAAUCCAAAACAAUCAUUGAACCCUGCAUGGUUUCCUCCAUUUCUGCUUGAAAACAAGGAAAGAACCAGUUCCGCUUUACACGACGACUCUGGUUUGUUUUUCCUUUCUCUUUCUUUUCUGCAAACUUCCCACAUGUAGAACCAGCAAAGAGUCACAACUGUAUGUCCUAGUUUUUAACGUGGCAGGCAGCAAUCCUACACGCUGGUAGUUCGCAUGGAAACAAGGACUUAACGCCCCAGUGGAGACGAAGGAGCUGGAUUUGAAUUUGAUUUCUUCCUUAGCAACACCAGGCUGAAUGCCUCACAUCAGCGCAUGCUAUUUUUAAAACCUGGCAGGAAAAAGGUAUAGAAAAGUGGAGUAAAUCAAGGGCGGAUGCCGUUUGAGACUCUGGGAACUCUCGUGCCCACCGGUGCCUUGCCAUGCAAGAAAGGAUGAGUGUGUUUUAUCGCUCACAAACACAUGGUCACUAAGGCUGCAAAAUAAAAUUAAAAAAAUAAAUAAACCCUGUCUCCACUUUCCUGAGAAGAAGCCCCAGCUAAAUCCAAACUUAAGAGAUUUUUAAAGCAGGCAGGAGACAGACAUAGGCCAGCUCUCCUUUUAGUAAUUAGGCUGAACAGUCGGCGUGGGCGAUAUCUUCCAAGUGGAGCCUCAUUGCUCAACUCCAGGUUUCCAAUUGAGAUAUUUAUUAAACGAUUCUAAAGGAAAGGGAGUGACAGAAGAAGAAGAAGAGGAAGAAGAAGAAGAAGAAGAAGAAGAAGAAGAAGAAGAAGAAGAAGAAGAAGAAGAAGAAGAAGAAUGUGGCUUAAAUCAUCCUUACACUUCCUGUGGAUUCUGAAAUCAGUUUUAGGAGGGACGGCCCUUUUAUUAGGCAGAGUGAGGAAAUAGCGUUGGGCAGCAGAUUAGAAUAGAAUAGAAUAGAAUAGGAGUUGGAAGGGACCCUGAGGGUUAUCUAAUGCAACCCCCUGGAAUGCAGGGUGCUCCAGCGAUUCCCUUUUUUUGGAGGAAGGAGCUGCGUACUGUAUGCUGCAUGGAUUGGAUUGUCCAUCCUCCCUACACUAGCCUGAAGGUAGGGAUUGGCAAAUACAGUCAUACCUCGGAAGUUGAAUGGAAUCUGUUCCGGAAGUCCAUCCAACUCCCAGAACCAUUAAAAACCCAAGCCAAUCAGAAGCCACGGAAGCCGUGCCGGACAUCCGACUUUCGAAAAUCUUGAAAAUUGGAAUACUUACUUCUGAUUUUCGAUCGUUCAGGAGCCAAAACAUUCAGCAACUAAGCUAUUUGAGAUCCAAGGUAUGACUGUACGAUGGAACCUUGGUUUUCGAAUGUCUCAGAAGUUGAAUGUUUCGGUUUUCAGAAGUCGAAUGUGUCACGUGGCUUCCGUAUUGAGUUUUCCAUAAGUAUUUGCUUCCGAAAAUGCAUGCUUCGGGUUUCAGAAGUCGGUCUUCUGGAACAGAUUACAUUUGAAAACCGAGGUUCCACUGUAUAGUCAUACCUCGUGUUGCGUUAGGUUCAUGUUGCGUCUCAUUCUGCAUGAUUUGCACAUGCGCAGAAGCACUCUAUCAUGCUCUGCGCAUGUGCAGAAGUGCUGUUUUAGUUGCGGACUUUUUGGGGUGCGAAUGGCACUCCAGAUUGGAUCAUGUCCGCAACUCGAGGUACCAUUGUAUGGCAAUUUUGGUUUCUCUCAGUUUCUCAUUUUCCAGUCUCAAGUUCAGUUCUGCACAUUUUUGCAUCAUUCUGUGAGUUAGUAUUUUUUUAAAGAAAUCGUGAAAAUUCAUUGUCAUUUUGUUGUGAAUUUCUCCUAUCAUCAUUAUUUAUUUAUUAAAUUUGUUAGUAGCUUAAUUGCUUGAUCUUGCCCAAGGCAAUCUAAAGCCACUUACCGUAUUUUUCGCUCUAUAAGAUGCACCAGACCACAAGACACUCCAAGUUUUUGGAGGAGGAAAACAAGAAAAAAAAUAUUCUGAAUCUCAGAAGCCAGAACAGCAAGAGGGAUCGCUGCGCAGCGAAAGCAGCGAUCCCUUCUUGCUGUUCUGGCUUCUGUGAUAGCUGCGCAGCCUGCAUUCGCUCCAUAAGGAGCACACACAUUUCCCCUUACUUUUUAGGAGGGAAAAAGUGAGUCUUAUAGAGCAAAAAAUACGGUAAGUUACAACAGGGACUUCCUAAGCCCGUGGAGCAUUAAAGGGUGGUAAGGGGCUUCUUAGGGUGGCGCUGUGGGUUAAACCACAGAGCCUAGGACUUGCCGAUCAGAAGGUUGGCGGUUUGAAUCCCCGCACCGGGGUGAGCUCCCGUUGCUCGGUCCCAGUUCCUGCCAACCUAGCAGUUUGAAAGCACGUCAAAGUGCAAGUAUAUAAAUAGGUAUCGCUCCGGCGGGAAGGUAAACGGUGCUUCCGUGCACCGCUCUGGUUCACCAGAAGCGGCUUAGUCAUGCUGGCCACAUGACCCGGGAGCUGUACGCCGGCUCCCUCGGCCAAUAAAGCGAGAUGAGCGCUGCAACCCCAGAGUUGGCCGCGAUUGAACCUAAUGGUCAGUGGUCCCUUUACCUUUACCUUUAAGGGGCUUCUUGCCUGCUGCUUGGCCACAUGCCCAGAACAUGAGAGGGGGCUGCAAGAAAGAUCACCCUAGCUCUGUCCCAUUGCCAUUCUUGUCCAACUUACAGAAGGGACAAUAGGGCAAUAGGGACGUUUUGUACCUGUGGAGGCUUUUAGACCCCUGGAAAAUGAGCUUUCAUUGAUGACUCCUUGCUGCAGAAGUUGAUCUUCCACAAGCUGGAGGGUGGCAAAAAAUGAAGCUCCAGUGAGCUCAUUUCCACUGCCUCCUCAUGUGUUUAAUUAACACUUAGACAUGAAUGCACAACGAGGACUAUAGUGCAUAAAACACUUGUUGGAAAUGGACUUUGUUUUGUAUUUUAUACCGAACGGUUCCUCUCUAUAUAUUAAAUAUCAGGCUCUGCAAAUUCAUCAACAAACAUAAAACAAGAUAAGAAUUCCCCAAGCGUGCAAUAAGAUUAAAAUAUUGAGGGUUGUAUCUAAAUGUGGCAUUCAGUUAAGUCCCUUAGGGUAUCCUUGUUCUUCUGGAAAAAACAUGUUGUGCCUGCGGAACGUGGCUGUGCUAGACAAUGUAUACAUGGGUUGUGCAAGAGAUUGCUGAGUCUGUGGCAAAAUGUCCAAACUUCCCUUUUGACCCAAGCUUGCUAGACACAGGUCCGGUCUUUAAAGCUCUGUGUCUGAGUACUUCCCUCCUGCCCCACUGCUUUGCCCUGGAAAACUCAUGCUGAAUUUGUUUCCCCCACAGAUUGCUGUUUGCUCCGAUUCAGCAGCAAAGAGCAGGUUUUUCUGGGGAAAGCACUGGGGUGAAAAAAACACAUCACCCAUUGACUAGCAUGUGAGCCUUUGCAUGAGCAGAAAGGGAACACUAGACACAUGCCCAUGUUUUAAAAGAUAAGCAAUGCUAGCUCACCUUUCAAGUAUCAGUGCAGUUAUAGGCUGUCAUUAUGGGAUAGUUUUGCAGCAGCCCUGUUUGUAAUACGAACCCCCAGAAUAGGAUGUGGAUCCCACAGAUUGUUACAGGAUUGAGAGGACAUUGCAGCAAAUUCACUGCGAGCUCAUUAAACAAAGGCAGCAAUGAUUAAUGUUAAGUGUUGUUUACAAUGAUCGUGAUUAGAGUUGAUGCUUCUCCUUAGUAAAAAGCAUUACAGAAGACAUCAAAGAUGUGGAACUGGCAAACAGGACUGAUCUAGAAGCAAUCUGAGGCUUACAGACUCCCAAAUGCAAUUGUACUAAGUGAAAUGGGAAGAGACAGAAGUGGGUGGAAUUCUCCUCCUCCCCAACACUGUAAUAUUUAGUGGUAUUCCAUAGCUGCCCACCUGCACAUUAUUGCAAUUAGAUAAUAUUCUAGACAACAGUCACUCAUUCUUCUUGCUGGGUUCUGUAGGAUGCAUGACAGCUGGGAAAUAUGAAAACUAAAAUAUCUUUUAGUGUUGCAGCUUCUACACUUAGGAACCCCCUGACCAUUAACACCAGGCAGGUUUUGGGUGCCUGCUUCAAACAUUUUUUUUUUAUUCGCAAUAUCCUAUACAGACAUGUAGGUGUUGGUGUGUUUUAAUCUCUUGUACUGCUAUUGUUAAUUAUUUUUUGAAUUGUUGUAACCUGCCCAUGGAACCUUGGGAGUGAAGGGCAGGUAAUAAAUUUAUUUAUUUUUUAAAAAAAAUGUUUCUAAUGGUUUUAGCUGUUUUUAAUUGGUGAGUUUAAUAUUUCUUUUGAACUGCUAUGAGGUUUUACCACAAUCCAGUAGUAUAUACAUAAAUGAAUAACUAAAACAUAUUUGCCAGUUCCCCUUUAGGACAUCUCUGCAUUUGCAGUAGGGAGACAGUCCUGCAGCCUAUGGAGCCUAGACAACCACUGUUCUAAGUCAUUUUGCUUUACUUCUGUACAAAAAGCAACUAAUAGGUUUAAAUAAUGGUAAUGAUAAUGAUGAAACAAUGACGAGAGACAGUUGGAGAUGGUGUUGUGCAUCAGGGUGUUUAAAUUAAUAGAAACAAGAACACUGAGGUUCAUUGAAGCCUGACCCAUGUUUAUUGGAGGAUGCAGAGAGUAGGUUCCCUGCAAAGGAGGGAAGCGGGGACUUGCCUGUAGCAGCCCCAUCCUAGGAACAUAAAAAUAAGCUACCUUAGUCAGACAAUUCACUCAUCUAAUUCAGUACAGUCUCUAUACUGAUUGACAGUGGCUCUCCAGAGUGGUUUAUUAUUUAUUUAUUUAUUUAUUUAUUUACAGUAUUUAUGUACCAUUUUUUGGGUGGACCUCACAAAACAGUUUACAUAAGAUUACAGCAAAGAACACCUUUUUAAAAAGUUAUAAUAAAAUGGAAAAGAGAAGUUUGUUCAGAAAAAGCUGUUUCUGCUUCUUCCCCAUUCCCCACAGGGCAAGAUGGUCUUUCAGACGCCCCUGUGAUGGGCACCUGGGACAUUCAGCAAGCAUGGCAGAUGUUCAACCGCAGAGUUAGGGCCCCUCCCUAAGACAAAUGCCUUGAGGAUAGAGCUAUAAAUGGCAAUUGGCUAUGGUGCCCAUAUGGCAGAACUUUCAUGUUCUCUGAUAAAUGCUACUGAAUACCAAUUGAAUUGCUGCUGGGGUUGGUGGUGCCCCACAGGGAUGGCAGGUGGAGCUAAGGUCUAAACCACUGAGCCUCUUGGGCUUGCCAAUCGGAAGGUUGGCAGUUCGAAUCCCCACGGCGGGGUGAGCUUCCGUUGCUCUGUCCCAGCUCCUGCCAACCUAGCAGUUCAAAAGCAGGCCAGUGCAAGUAGAUAAAUAGGUACUGCUGUGGCGGGAAGGUAAACAGCAUUUCUGUGUGCUCUGGCUUCCUUCACGGUGUCCUGUUGUGCCAGAAGCAGUGUAGUCAUGCUGGCCACACGACCCAGAAAGCUGUCUGUGGACAAACGCCAGCUCCUUCGGCCUGAAAGCGAGAUGAGCUCCGCAACCCCAUAGUCAUCUUUGACUGGACUUAACCGUCCAGGGGUCCUAUCCUGAACUUUCUUGGAGGCAUCUGCUGAGCUGUGUGGCUUGGGGGGAGAACAGCUAGAUGCCAAGCAAGAUGGACUUUUGAUCUGAUCCAGGCAUCCCUAAACUCGGUCCUCCAGCUGUUCUGGGACUACAAUUCCCAUCAUCCCUGACCACUGGCCCUGUUAGCUAGGGAUGAUGGGAGUUGUAGUCCCCAAACAGCUGGAGGGCCGAGUUUGGGGAUGCCUGAUCUGAUCCAACAAGCUUCUUCUCACAGGACUUGCGGUCCUGCAGAUGCUGUUGAGCUGAGAGUGCCUAUCAGCCAGUACGACCAGCAGUCAAGUUAUGAUGGGAGGGGUAGGUCAGCAAUAUCAGGAUGAGACACAGGGUCCCCCCCUUCCCAUCCUUUUGAAUGUACAAUCAUACCUCGGGUUGAAGUUGCUUCAGGUUGAGCGUUUUCGGGUUGCGCUCCGCGGCGACCUAGAGGUAAUGGAAUGCGUUACUUCUGGGUUUCGCCGCUCGUGCAUGCGCAGACGGUCAAAAUGACAUCACACGCAUGCGCAGAAGCGGCGAACCGCGCACACGCAGACGCAGGUUGCGUUCGCUUCAGGAUGCGAACGGUGCUGUGGAAUAGGUCUCGUUCAUAUCCAGAGGUACCACUGUACUAGCAAUGUGCAUCUCAGUAAAGCUACAGAAGCAGAGAAAGGAACUUGGCACCUAAAAUGUCAGCUUGUCUCCUGUUUUGAGACACAGGUGCCAGGUUUUGCAGGUGGCACCAAGGCAGCAGUGCAACGCCCAUCAGUAGACCAGGGGAAUGAUUCACACCUCCCUGAGGAUGAGAAAGGUGCCAAGGCUUUGCACAGUAUCAAGGCAAUGCGAAAAACAAGAGCCACAGAACGAGAGAGAGAGAGAGAGAGAGAGAGAGAGAGAGAGAGAGGAGUUAUCAGCAGCCAUCUGGUAGAAAAUAGCAGGAGCCAGUGUUGCUCGCCACCCACACACCCUCUGCAAGAACUGUUUUCAAGUCAGAUCCAAAGCCCUCGUCUCCUACACUUCCUCAUCCGAAUGGAGACGGCGAGUUCUCCGAAUGCCUCCUUGGGCUUCCUGAGUGCCCCACUGCUUUCCUGCCUCUUUCCUAAGCCCACUGUGCUUUCCAAACAACGCCCAGAACACCAGCUUCCUUUCCACCAGGGAUCCGGCACAGCCAGUCCAGGCCUUGGAUCAUCAUCGCAGCAUUCAUUCGAAGCGGGAGGGGGAGAUUCCCGAUGGCUCACAAAAGGGAGGAGAUGCUUGAGUUGCUUGCAGGUUAUUAGCCUUCAUCCACGUGAGCUGAGUCCCACUUGAGCGCCCCGGCCUGCCCAAUCCAGUUUACCUGAAGGAGGAUCUCCACCCCCAUCAUUUAGCCCAGACACUGAGGUCCAGCUCUGAGGGCCUUCUGGUGGUUCCCUCCCUGCGAGAGGUGAGGUUACGGGGAACCGGGCAGAGGGCCUUCUCAGUAGUGGCGUCUGCCCUGUGGAACGCCCUCUCAUCAGAUGUCAAAGAAAUAAACAACUAUCUGACUUUUAGAAGACAUCUGAAGGGAAGCUUUUAAUGUUUGAUGUUUUAUUGUGUUUUUAAUAUUCUAUUGGGAGCCACCCAGAGUGGCUGGGGAAACCCAGCCAGAUGGGUGGAGUAUAAAUAAUAAAUUAUUAUUGUUGUUGUUAUUUAUUUACCACUGAGAUUUCAGAAAUGUUAUUUAAAGGAGAAUAAGGUCAAAUUCUAACUCAUUGGUGGUUUUGGAAACAAAACCCUGCAAUUUGGAGCUCUGAAACCUACCAAGAAAUCUGGAGGGGAGGUUUGGAAGCAGUCCCUGCACGGGUCAGGAAGGAAGCUGUUGAUGCAGGUCUGCGAAUGCCAGAGUCAAUAUGUCUCUUUCUGUUUACAGUGGCUAAGAAGAAAUGGAAUGGCACAGAAGCAUCCAAGCUGGUUUCCCAUUGGUCCUCUCAACAGCACCCUUUCACUUCCAGAAGAACAAUCACCACCCCAUUGAGUCUGAUCACAGAAGAGAUGCAAUGCUCUCCUGGACCGCCUUUCUUUUUAGAGCCGCUAUUCCUAUUCUUUCUGUUAAAAAAAUUAAUCAUAUUGGCACUCCUUGCUUCCUCCUUUGCACGCUGUCUCUAACCCCUCCCUGUGUACAUAUCAGUUGUUCUUCAAUUCCCCCCACCCAAAUUAUAUACACAUAUAUCACACCCACACCUGUGCAAUAUAGAACGGAGCUUUCUUUUGCAACGCUCAUAACCUGUAAGCUUGCCUCUCCACUUCUCAGUUUUUGGGGGGCCUUCAGGCAUUUGCUACUCAGUCCUGUAUUCUGAGCAGUCUGAGCAGAGGCAAAGAGGCUAUUCUUCGUAUAGCUUGGCCUUUAAGCCUUUUCCAUCACUGGCCAGAGUCUGGAGACGAGGCAGUGGAGCUGCGAGUGGUAUGUUAGAACGGCUUGCUCUGCAGCACACAAGCAUGUAUUUUGUCCCACUGUAAUAAAUAUCUGGCUCGAUGGGGCAUAAUAUUGGCUGCUGUUUUUAAUUAGAUCCUUACUGCAUACAACAACACCAUACACACAUAAAAUAAAACCACAUUAACAUCGCCUAUGGUUCUGAUUAUGAACACAAUGAUUUUCUUAUAUCUCCAUUCGCCCAUCUUUCAUCUUACUAAUUAAAUAACAUUUUAAAAAUAAUGGAGAAGGAAAUGCAUGUUGACGAUAUUACGGGUGCCACUUCGAGUUGGGUUAACCUGUCAAUUUUUGUUUCUCUCAGUUUCUUGUUUUAUCCAGUCCACCACAUUUCUGCAUCAGUUUUGCAAUUCCUUUUUAAAAAAAGAUUCUCCUGAAAAUUCAUCAGAAUUUUAGCCUAAUGUACAAAUUUUUAUAUGCAUUUUUGCCCAACAGUGUUUGCAGUCAGUUCCCCCUCAUAUAAUGCACGUAUGGUGCUAUUUUCACUAAUAUAUGCCUUUGUCUGCCUAGUGUCCCCGAUAUAUAUAUUUUUGUAUACUUCAUUUGUUUGGAGAACUACGCCACAAAAUUCAGAGAAGGGCAUGCUUCGAAGAAAGGCUGUGCUUCAGUUCAUAUAUUCUCCCUCGUCCCUAACACCAACUCGUAUGUGCCCAUCCCAGCUCUGUGUCCCCACCCCACCCCCUGUCCCAACACACAGAAAAAUUGCAGCAUCAUUCCUUGCCUGCUGAGCUUGUGCCAGGCAGAAAUCUGUACAUAAUGUUACUUGUGCAAGGAAGGUCCAUUCAAACUAUCUUCCCACGACUGAGGCUGCAAUCCUGUGCUCACAUACCAGGGAGUAAGUACCAUUGAACUUAACGGGGCUUGCUUCUGAGUACUGUAACUAUGCAUAGGAUUGCAAUAAAGUGUUUUGUCUGUCCUCACCACAGGCGGCAUCAAGUUUGGAAAAACACAUCAAAAUCCUGCAAAGCUGUUUCUGAAACCUCUCUCUCAUACUAUCUUUCACACUUUAAAAUAUCUCCAGCUAGAAAGGAAACACCCUUUUCCUUGGUCAGCCCAGAGAGGUGUUCCCAUAAAGCCUUUUCUUGCAUGUUGCAUGCCGAUUUAUUCUUUUGCAUCUGACAGUUUUAGAAAUUCUUUUUGAGGCGUUGCGCAACCAAGCUCCAUUUUUAAUCAGUCUAGCCUUUGUUGAACGUUCCUGUUCAGUUGUGGUUUGAAGGUUGAAAUAUUAAUUCUGUUGGUGUCCUCAAUUCUUGUCAUGGUGUGGUGAGCCCUUUUUAAAUGAACUUCUACAGUAGCUGUAGGACAGCCAUUGGUUCCCUUUUAUUCUUUGGGCCAGUAGAUCAUGGAGAGUGCUAAGUUGCUCCCAGCCUUCAGGUUCUUCAUUUGCACAGACCCAGUCUGAUAGUCAGUGUGUGUCAUUCCUCCCCACCAUGCAAGCUGGUUGUUGUGGCUGCCCUAACCUCCUAGCCCCAAGUUCUGUAGGGCUGGCCCUACCAUUGUAUAGAGUGAGGCAGUGACCUCAGGGGUCAGGUGCUGGGGUGCAGCAAUAGCAGCCCCUGGGCUGUUGCUCCUGAGCUCCUCCUCCCAGCCAUUGCCCUCUGUUGGAAGCCAGGACUGCAUACACUGCCUCAAGUGUGAUGGAGAAUGUUGUCUCAUCACCAUUGCUGAGGUAAGAUUCAUGUACCAGUUCAGUUGGUUUGGGGAAGAGGGGCACCAUUCUUGUCUUCAGGCUGCAAAUAUACAGUGGUACCUUGGUUCCCGAAUGGCUAAGUUGUUGAACAAAUCAGCUCCUGAAUGCCGCAAACCCAGAAGUGUUCCAGUUUGUGAACGUUUUUCGGAAGCCGAACAUCUGACGUGGCUUCCGCGGCUUCCGAUUGAGUGCAGGAAGUUUCUGCAGCCAAUUGGAAGCCGUGCCUUGGUUUUUUAAUGGUUUUGGGAGUCGAAUGGACUCCCAGAAUGGAUUAAGUUUGAGAACCAAGGUACCAUUGUAGUGGUCCGGCCCUAUAGUUUUGGGAUCAAUCGUGUAGUCCAGUUAAAUCAUUUUGCCUUCCGCAUUUGCUAUUAACCCACCCUUGCUAUUAAGCACUAGCCCAGAAGCCAUCAGCAACCAUGAAAGCCUUGCAGCUGGUAGAGGAGGAACGGAGCGUUCCAUCCCUCCUUUGCACCCAGGGUAGGAAGGCAGGGCAGAGGAAGGGAAGAGCACUCCGCAGGGCAGGCAUUGUUGGGCACCUGCACGAACCCACUAGGGCCCACUGUCGUUUUCUGAUGUUUCUCCCUCCUCAUCCUGGAACUGUCUGUUCACCUGCUCUCUUUGAGCCUGCAAACCAGAGCAAGAAGACAAGAAUAGCCUCCACCCCCUCCCCGUGCUCAGCUUCAGGGCGUUGUGCCGAUUGGGCCCAGAGGGAGAGAGCAAGUGAGCAAGCCACUCAGUGUACCUUGUCAUAAGAAGGCUUUGCUGGAUCAGGCCAAGGGACCAUCUUACAGUGCCCCCACCCCCCUGAUGCCUAUGGGUAGCUCAAAAGCAGGACCUGAAUGCAAUAGCACACCAGUUGGUCCCUCCAAUGCUAGCUCACAGCAGGCUAGUAAAUAUUUUUGCAGGCAACCACUUAUUAUUAUUAUUUGCAAGGCUGCAUUAAUCCGAUCCCCCUUCCCUCAAUUGGCUCCCCCGACUCAUUAACCCAAUUCCCUCAUUCUUGUUUUCUUACUCAAGCCUCCAGCUUUAUGCUCUCUAUAGAGCACGAAGAACGGUCCAAGUUCUCUAACAGGCUGGCAGGUUAGAAAGAAGAUGUGAUCCUGGCUUUUUAUGCUUUCUUCUUCCCUCGCUUCUUACAGGGCUCAGAGCAGACAGGAGAAGGGCUGACGGAGAGGGGAAGAAGGCCAUGGGAUAAGCAGAAGAGCGAACUCAAGCAGUGACUGUAUUCUCUGCUUUGAAUUUGCUGGGCUUUUAGGAAGAUUCUCUAGGUAGCAAGAAGGACUGUAGAGAUGAUACACCAUCCAACUAUUCCAAGAAAUGUUCAAAAGGCCUCAAUAGCAUGCAGGAAUUUCCCCCCUGCUUAUUCAGCUACAUUUUACACCAUCCUACACUGUUCUUCUGUCUGCCUUGUGAACACCCCACAUUCCCUUGGCCUCUCUGCACCGUGCCCCACUUUGUAAGUCCUCUCUCUCUCUCUCUCUCCAUCCAUCCAUCCAUCCAUCCAUCCAUACAGUUUAGGCAGGAGCUGGUGCAGCUGUCUUUCUAAAUAUCUUUUUAACAUUUUGCAUGUGAUUGCUUCUACCAAGAUGGAAUGUUAAUAAAGGAAUGUUGAUAUG